CUCUUCUUUGGUUGCCUCCUCAAGAACCUGAGAGUCAACAAUACUUGUGAUAUUUCCAUCUUUGAAUUCCUGGAGAAAAUAGUUUGACAAGCUCUUGACCGUGCCUGAUUCACUUGUAAAAACAGGCUUCAUUCUGAGAAGCAACUCCACUAGUACCACACCGAAACUGUACACAUCACUCUUCUCAUUUAACUGUCUGGUAUGGAAAUACUCUGGAUCUAAGUACCCAAAUGUACCCUGUACAUUCGUGACAAUGUGUGUUUGAUCAGUUGGAACCAAUCUAGACGCGCCAAAAUCUGAAACUUUAGCUGUGUAGUUCACAUCCAAGAGUAUAUUCGAGGACUUUACAUCACGAUGGAAGAUUGAUAUUGAAGCUGAAGAGUGGAGAUAAGAUAGAGCUCCUGCUGUUUCCAGGGCAAUCCUUACGUAAUCAAUCCAAGACAGAGAAAAACCAUCACUUGAAUCAGCAUGAAGAACUUGAGACAGUGAGCCAUUGGAUACAUAGUCGUACACCAGCAGCGGAACCUCAGUUUCGAGACAACAUCCGAAGAGCUUUAUAAUAUUUCUAUGAUUUAUCUGAGAGAGAACUGCGACCUCAUUGAUGAAUUGACUGAUCUCACACUCCUCAAUGACCUUAGACAUUUUUAUUGCAACAACUCGCUGAUCAGAUAACAUGCCUUUGUAGACCAUGCCAUGGCCCCCACGGCCGAUGAUACGUGUAGGAUCAAAGUUGUCUGUUGCCUUCUCUAGCUCUUCUAAUGAGAAAAUCUUCGUAUUCUCAUUUGCAGUUUCAUCAGAUGAUAUCAACGUUUCUAAGAGAAGACCUUGGUUCUUCCGGAAAUAGUUCUUCCGUAGUUGCUUUUGAACAUUUAUUUUCCAUCUGCGAGUGAAACACACUACACUGAAGCUCAGAAGAAGAAUGCCCAAACCACAGGACAGCCCAAUAAUCAUACCUGCAGGCAUUUAUCUCUUUUAAGUUUCUGUUCUAUCUUGUCUAUCAUAAAUGUAACAACAAAUAUAGUCUUACCUAAGAGUAGAGGCUGUUGUUUUAUCUUAGUGCACUGCAUUUUUAAUGGAUCAUAUUCAGUCUCGAGAGGACAUUCAGUACAACGGAAGCUUCCAUUGGUAUUAUGGCAGAUCCCUUUACAACUGUUCGCUUGAAGGCAUUCAUUAAUAUCUGAAAUUAACAAAAUCUUGAUAAGAUGUGUUGACAAAAUAUAUACUCCCUCUGAUUCACCAUAAGUAGUUCAGGACAUGGGCGCUAUCUUCAUAGCAACUUUGGACAAACACAUUUUAGAAAAAUAAUAUUGCUUCAAACAAAAAUAACUAUAUAUUAUAAGAAACUAUUUCACGGCUAAUCUAGUCAUAUCAAUUGACACUUCCCAUGUUGGUAGUUUUUUCUAUACUGAUGGUGAAAUCUAAAAUGUUUAAAUGGCAAGAAUUCUAAAGCUGAUUAUAUUAUGAAUCAGAGGGUGUAACAUGGAACACAGCACAGCAUUGAAUUAGCAUGAAACAGUACAUCAGCCAACUAAAUGAGAUCUACAUGGAAAAAAACUAGAAAUAGUAGAAAAAUUACUGGCUAAAAGUAACAUGCAGUUAUUGUAGUAACACGUGCAUUUAAAUACAAAUGUACUCCUACAACUUUAUUAUAGAGAGUUAAGAAAUACUCCCUCCGUUCCAAAUUACUCGUCGUGGUUUUAGUUCAAUUCCAAAUUACUCGUCGUGGUUUUAGUUCAAAUUUGAACUAAAACCACAACGAGUAAUUUGGAACGGAGGGAGUAGCUAAUAGUACAUUUUUUCAAGCGGUAGGGGCUGUAUCAUUUGUAACACUAGAGGGAGGGAGGGAGUACCUCGACAGCCACUUUGGAUAUAUGGAUUUCCUUGGAAGCCAUCUGAGCAUUUGCAGCAGUAACCAGCAUAGAUUCUUUCAGCAGUUACUUCCACACACUUGCUGUUGGUACUCACACAAGCAUAUGCAGAUCUAUUCUGUUGGGCCUCUGCGCAACUUAGAUGAGCAGCAACCCAUUUGACAGAGAGAAAUAACCCAUAUUCAUAUACGAGACUGUGACGUUCUGAUAUGGGGUCCCAACGUUGUUGGUCAGCAAAAGUGAUAUUAAAGGUCCCUUCAUCAACAUUCAUGUCGAUGACUUGUUUCUCCUCCAACAUGACCAGGGCAUCUGAUGACGUCAGAUCUGUGCAGUUGAGGUGAAACUCUUCCCUAGCAAAGCAACCCUCUUCGAAGCCGAAUGGGAAUUGCACACUAAUGUUACCACACCAACGGGUACAGUCAGCCCUGCUCGGAAUUGGAUUAUACCCUAAAUUGAUCAGUAUAAUGUUAGCAUGUACAAAUGCCAAAAAUGGCUCGCAGAAGCUGUACGUCACUUGAUUAGCUAGAAAAAAAGUUACCUUUGCUGUUACUGGAGCAGCCAUGUGGAAUGUAGGGGUUGCCUGUAUAGCCCUCGUUGCACAUGCAGUUCCAGCUGUAGCCAUUUCUUGAUGUCAUGCCAGUUGUAUCGUAGUUGUAACCGCGGCACUCAGAAUGGUCGCUGACACAGGCAACACAGUCGGUGGGUUGAUUCCCUAUAUCCCAUGAGAGCAUUAAACCACCAUCAGCGGUUAUGCUGAUUUUAUCCCACAACUUAGAGGUCUGGUUAGAGUGUGCUCUGGUGUUUAUUGUGUCAUGGUCAUAGACAAAUUUGAACUGAUAAAUGUCACAAUAGUUGUGCACGUCUACACGACAACAGCCAAAGCCAUUACAGUUGUGCAUAGCCACCGUCUCUGAAAUUUCUGGAUCUGGGCACACAGUUGCGCAGAUCGGCUGGAUGGCAUUCUCUUUGACAGAGUACACUGCCAGGUCGCAGCCAAUGAUGUUUAGAACAAAGGGAUAAAGAUGGAAGGACCUCCCAGGUGGUUUGAAAGACAAGUUGUAAGCACUAACACCAGAUUUCAAGGGGAUGGUAUGCGAGAAGGAGGCCCAGAUCGAGUUUAAAUCAUAAUGAGAAUCACCGCCAAAGUUGACCACUUCGGUGAUGCCGUCACACAAGAAAAGUAUGGGGGGGUGAGUGGCAUCGUUGCAACUGAGGUUGAAGUCAGGCCCACGGGAGCACCUGGAUCCGAUGCCGAAGGGAUAGCUGAAGCUCACACUGCCGCAGCUCGUCGGGCAGUCAUCGAGCGUGAAACCGGCACGGGAUGGUCGUGCCCAGGUCCCUUCGGGGCUCUGCUGGUUUGUCACAACUCCGGAUGCCAGAGCUGUUAGCUUUCCUAGUGACCCGAGUACCAGCAGAGAGAACAUCAUCGGCAAGAUGCCCAUGGUGGAUCGACAGUUCUACACUACACCUUGCACUAGAGAAAUUCAGGUCAGGCAGCAGCGCCUCUCUUAUAGCUAGUACCACUUUCAUGACUGCCUUCCUACUGCAAAUAUAUCUAGGAUAUGGUUACAAAAACUUAGAGUUGACCCAAGGAAGACUGGAAGAGGAUUCGUGUGGAACUUCCUAGGAGAUGGCCAUGUGAAAGGAGACGGGCAUGCAUGACCAUGAGUCCAUGACCUAGUAAAUGGUCCUGUGGAUUUGGACUUGAAUGGAGCACUGGUGUAUUUGAUGCGAUGUUAAGGAGAUGACCAUGACCUUGACCUCGUACACAAAGACCUCAGCAAGUCGGCCAAUACCUUCUGUCUGCAAAUAAUUCAAGCCCACCAUAAUCAUUUUGCGGGUGCCAUCCUGCUCAUCAUCCACCAUACCCGGAUGGCAACCUUCAUUGUCCUCCCACUUAGUGGAAGAUAAGCUAACUGAGAUAAGUAACAGUAACUGAACUCCAUCCCCAAUUUCAGCUGCUGUUCGCCUAAGCUGCAAACGGGGGUAUCACAAAGUAAGAAAUUCUGACCGCUGGAGAUAAAUUACAGACACGGAAUCAAGUUUAAAAAAAAUAGGAAAUGAGCACCUGUACACGGAUUGCUUGGGUUUUCGGUGGGGAAGUGGAUCCAUCGGAAGAACUGAAAGAACCCAAUGCCUCAAUCUCAGGAUGCUUAUAUAUGAAUACAGAUGAUGAUGGAGAGGGCGAGAAGCGGCCGCGUGGGCGACCUCCAUGGAGCAGCUGCAGCUGCAGCGGCGGCGGCGUGUCCACUUCGGCGAAGUCGCCGGGGGCGGCGAGCUGGUGUGCACGGUGCGGUGCAGGUACCAAGGUACGAAAUGGAGGGAGCUUAGCGGAAGGAGGAGAAACCAAGCGCACAAACUGGAGGAAGGGGGCGCUGGAGAUGGGGUAGGACGGCGCGCGGUGGAGAUGGCGCGGACGGUGGGGGAGCAGAACGGCGGUAGGGGAGGAGAACUGGGGAAGGUGCUGGAGGAAGACGGGUCCUCCACAUUGCGUUGGGCCCUCGUAAUUUCGUCUAUCCUUGGGCCGAGCGAUGACCAAGCCUUUCCUCCCGUGGUGUGGAGUGUGCUAUUACAGUAAUACUCUGCAUAUCGAAUGGUUGCUAUAUCAAUAUAGCGGGGUGAAAGCCUGCCCGCGAGCCGUCCGUCGGCACGGCGGAGCUGAGCAAGCGGUCGGAGGAUUUCCUCAAGACUAGUAAGCUUGCACGUGCAACACACGUCUUGAUGGAUAUUACAAUCAGACAUGAGAAUCACGUGCAUAGAAAAACAAUUUGAUAGCAGUAAGAAUACUACAAAUCAACAUAUAAUAUAAAUGAGCUUUAAGAAACGCAAUAACUUACAAUUAUAUGCAUCGAGCAACAACACAAGUAAUUAUCUCAGUAUUCCUGAUAAGCUUAUAUGGUUCUCAUGGAUGUUGUCUUCAGCUUCAUUCUUGAUGUAGUCAUGGAAGUGCACCAAAAAUUGUGUUAUGAGAAUCAACAUUCAUGCCCUGUAUUUGGCACUAUACAUACUAACAUAGUUUUCAUCAAAGGAGUAAGCAAGCAUCAUGACCAUCAUCGUGCACGGAAUUAUACAUGGCCAAGACAUAUUAGAGUAAUAAAUCUGCCAUGUUAGCUUAUUGACAUGUCCUAGGUGCUAAUAAAUAAUAAUUAUGUGACCCAAUAAGUGCCUCUGCCACUCUUGGGAUUACAUAAGGCUCAGCCACUAAGAACUUACAUGACAAUUUCAGGAAAGAAUGUAACUACUUGCAAUCUAGAAGCAACAGCAAAUAUAUUAGAUAUUGUUGCUUGCAUAUUAUUUCUUGUCCAUGGUCAUAUGCAUGAAAGGGUUUCUAGCACACACUUUAGAUAUUCUGUAACAUGAUAUUACAUAGAAAAAUGAAGCAUAGGGAUUUUCACGUGUAACAUCGACAAUAUAUACAUGUAGUUGCCUCAAACGGCCAUAUGAUCUUACAAAUGAAAGCACAAAACUAAAAAGGAACAUAUAAGAAAUGUGAUUCAUAUAGUAUUUCAUUACCAACAGGGCAUAAAAAAUGAAAAAGAAACAGAAUCACAAGUCCAAGUCUUCGCACGUCUUUUUAUAAGUGCAGCCUUAACUGAAAACCUGAAAGUAAACUAAAAUGAGCAUGCUUUUAUAAAAAAAAAAUUAGCAAAUAUAUAUGUUACAAGUAUGAAGUUUGUAGUUUGUAAUUCAGUUCUUUACAUCAUAAAUGUAUACACUGUUUUUCAUCCUUUGGCAGGGAGUAAUAAAAGGCAUAGUCCUAAAUGUGAACUAAAUUUUAAUGAGACAUAAAUUUAUUAGCUAGAUAAUGUUUCAGUCGACCUUGUUUGAGAGGAAGCACCACUAUCCAUUAUUCUGUUAUUCAGCUAAAAAAACAGAAAAUGAGUAUUUCCAAUAGCUAGUCAUUAUCUCUGUAUCUCUGAAUUUCUUGUACAAUCAUUGUGUGCUUGUUCAAAACAGAUCCCCUGAACUUCAAAUUCUACAUUUAUUUAAUUGGAAAGUCUAAUUUUAUAACAUUGUUGGAUGCUCUAUGGUUUCAGAGUAAUUGACUAUGAAAGGAAGUGACAGAGCAACGUAAAACUGGUAGGAUAUACACAUAUGAGUUCUGUGAAAUACAUGUAUUACAAAUUGGCCCGUGAUUUUUUUUCCACUUAAAUCAAAAGGAGGCAAGAAGCAAACUUUAAAUACGUGUGCACCUUGCCUUCUAUUAUCAGUCAGAAAACCAUAUAGAGAUUGCCCAAAUUCAAAAUAAAUCGGGAUAAGCAUGCAAGUUUUACCAUAUCCAGUUUCAUGUAAGUGGCUGCGUCAUUCAAGCCACCUGUUUUUAAACAAGACUUAAAAAGAUAAAUUUCCUUUCAAAUUUACUAUUGUAACAUGUUAAAAAAGGAGAUGAGGAAAAGAGCAUAGUAACAUAGCCGAGCACUUUCCAUAUUAACUCAAGUUCAUGCUGAUAGAAAUCUUGGAAAUAAUCAUUUCUAUAUGUAACUUUGUAGUGCUUUAUCGCAUCCACUGAACUAUGUCCUGGACUUGGUCUAUAUAUUAAAUCAUUUCAGCUUCUGGAUUGUUGUCAUAGAACCUAUCUUUAUAAUACAGUGUACAAUGUUUCUAAUUGCAAAAAAUCCACAUGUGUGUUAAGGAUUCCCAAAAAUGGAACCUAACAAUAUCACAAAUACUUAUUUCCAUCUCUGCAAAAGAAACUCUCGGAAAUAUAUAUCUCUGAAUCAAUGAGCAUAGUCCUAUAUAAGAAUUUACAAAAAUCUCUUUCAAAGAAAUGGUAAUGUCUAAUUUACAACAGUGUGCUGGAGUUUUAAAUACAACCAGUUGGGGCAAUUUAUUGGACAAGUUGCACAUGUUCAUAGAGAUGAACGCAAGGAAGCAUUGAAGUCCCACGGAGGAAGAUGGCCGUGCAACUGCUCGAGCGAUGAAUAAUUCAGGACUGAGUUGUGACAAUCAUUUACAGCUUCCACCUCAAUAGAAACAAUAAGUUAAUUACAUACAUACCUUGAGCCAAGUAGGACAAUCACGGGAAGCAUCACGUGUCCAGAUUUAGGGAACGGCGAGUGGCUUUGCCAGUCACUCUCACAUCCUCGGGACGGUGAUCGGCAAGAAGUGGAUGCAAGUGACCCCGCAGGUGAUGCCAUCCUGCAGAGUUCUCAACACAGCAACACGUAAUAAAUUCAGCAACAUGCAUAUCAGUUGUCCGUCGUGAUUGACCCCAAGAAUCAACCGAAGAGGAGGUGGAGCGGGGAGGUCUGCAUCCGUGUAGUGCAGCGGCGCUCGGACUGGCACGUGUGCCCAUGGCGCAGCGGGGAGCAGGCAGGCGAGGCCCCGGUUGGCGCUGCGGCGCUCGGACCAUUGCUUGCGUGCCAGCGUGGGUGGCGGCAAUGCAAGGAUCCGUGAGGACAUGGGCCGUUAGCGGAGGAGCCGAGCCGGCGGCUGACAGUGGCGGAGGAACGGGGGCGACGGGGCGCUGGCGGCGGCCGGGCGCGUGGGUCGCAUCAGGGCCAAGCAGAUCGGCCUGCAGCAGCAGACAGGGAAGGCGAAAACUGGGACGCGUGGUUAUAUUUUGGUUAGCGCUAAUUUCAUGAUGAGAUUAGGUGAGAGGUUAGCGCUAAUUGGGGAUAGAAUCACGUGGUUGCCAAAUGAAUCUUUCGUUCCUUGGAUGGCAGGCAGAGUUUUCGUCCGCUCCUCAAAAUUGCCAAACGUACUUUUGCUAAGAUUUGGUUGUUAUCUUAACGGUUAGAUCCAAAUGAAUUGAGACGAUCGUGAGGCUCUAAUUGUUUUGGUUAGUUGCGUGUACGUUAACCGGAGUGCACUUAGAAAAGAUAAUGUUUGCUUGUUUAAUAGUAGUAUAGAUAUAGAAGAUCCACAACUCCUUCGGGCGGCACCAAUAAUACCAGCCACCAUCAACCCAAAAAUCCCAAACCAAUCCAAAUCAAAAUGUUCUCGGCUGUGUAAAGAUCAUAUCCCUUUAAAUUAGUCUUUCUCCUUCCCUUCUUGGUGUGCCCUGUUCCCUGUGCCCUUUUUCUCUUUGUUAUAUCGGGUGGUUGCCAUAUCAAUAUAGCGGGGUGAAAGCCUUUUUCUCGAAUAUUUUUUUGUCUAAAAAAAAUAAUAUCGGAUGCUCGUUGACACAAAAACCAGAAGAGAGAACUGGUUAGAUGGGAUCCAGGGAUCUUCUGAUAAUCAUGAAAUUGCUCGGUCAUGGACAAAGCUUUGAAACCUAUUAAUACCAUCGAAACUCAAAAUUUUUGUUUGGAGGCUGGCACAACAGUCUUUGCCAUCCGCAGAUCUCCUUCAACACCGGCACAUAUCAAAUUCAAGCUGCUGUGCUCUUUGUGGAUGCGAGGACUCUUGGCGGCACUCUUUACUGGAUUGUACUACAUCAAGAUGCAUUUGGGCACUGUGCGAUGAGAGCAUCACAGAGAGCAUGGCGACAUGCACCGAACCUUCAGCAAAAAACUGGCUUUUUGCGAUGAAUGAUCUACUACCGCAUGAAGAGUUCAUAAGGAUGAUAGUUACACUUUGGGCAAUCUGAUAUGGGAGACGGAAAGCUAUCCACGAAAGCAUUUUUCGGAGCCCACGCUCCAUCCAACAGUUUGUGUUAUCCUUUAUAACAGAGCUUGAGUCAAUCAAGACUCCAAGGCUCCCAGGCCCAGUACCGCCUCAUGACAGGACUCAGAGAUGGAUCCGCCUUCUGGGGGAUGUUCAAAAAUAAACGUGGAUGAAGCUUUCAGUAGAUUCGAAAGAAGGGCAGCAGCUGCUGCUGCGAUCUGCAGGACGGAGCAAGGAACAUACAUUGGAGCCUCAGCGAUUGUGGUGGAGAAUAUAUCAAACCCAGCUAUAUAUAAUGGAAGCUCUAGCUUGCCGAGAGGGUAUAGCACUAGCUGAAGACCUAACACUGAGAAAUGUUGUUUUAGUUGCGGAUAGUCAAGAGGUGAUCAAAGACAUAGAACAAGAAGCAGCUGGUCCAUAUGGUGCAAUCAUCAAAGAAUUCAUAGAUCGGAAGAAUAUGCUUGACAAAUGUAUUUUAGUUCAUGAGCAUAGAAAUUUCAAUUUUGAGGCUCAUUGCCUCGCAAAACAUGCUGCUACUCUAGGUAUUGGAAGACAUACUUGGUUGGGUCAACCUUUUGAUCCCAACAAAAUACCUGUAAACCUUGUUAUUGAGUAAUAAAGUGCGUGGUUUUGCCUAAAAAAGCAAUAUUGUUUUUUAAUUUUUGCCUUUUAUUUUUGGUUUGUUUAUUUAUUCCAAAAAAUAUUUUUACUUAAUUUUUUAUUGCAGCAUGUAUUUUAAAACAUUUAUGAGGUGUAUUUUUACCAGUAGGUGUUUUGUUAUGUGGAUAGUAUUUCUAUUUUUAGGUUAUACAUUCAUGAAAUUUACCAUGUGAAAGCAUGAGCAUAUUUCUACUUUAAGUAUGAACAUUUAUGAUUGAAGCGUGUAGCAAAUUAUUGAACACUAUUCCUAAAUGUAAAAAAUGUUCAUAUAUCUAGAAAAUUGCCCAUGGCUAUCAAACGUUCCCGGGUAUGAAAAAACAAAUAUUCAUGAUUUACAAAACAUAUUUGCGUAUCUAACAAAAAAGUAUAAAGGUAAUAAAAAAUAAAUACAAAAAUAAGGAAACCAAACAAGCAAAACAAGUAGAUAAAAACGAAAAAAAUAAGAAAAUAAAAAAAGCAUGCAAUAAAGAAAGAAGAGAACAUUAUAACUAAAAUAAAUUAGAUAAGGGGGGAUCUUACCAUCAUGCGUCGAGCCUGUCACAAGAAUGUGGUAGAAAAGAAAAUAGGAAAGAAAAAAGGAAAGGGAAAAAGUAGACACUCCCAAAAAGAAUAUAAAAUCUAUAUCUAUACCUACUAUUAAAGGGAAUAUGUAUUCUUGGUUUAGUUUAGUCCUUUUCAUUUGGUUUGAGUGCACGCUAAAGUUUGGUACUGUCAGGUCGUACACAGGCUAAGCGAUCUGGGCCAGGUACUUGUAUGUGGAUGAGCCUUUUAUGGGCUUUCAGAGAGAUUGUGAAAAAAAUUGGGUCAAAAUAAAUAAACAUUAUGGGAAUUGAACACAGCUGUUAGGAUCUUUAAUGUAACAACCAACUACCUAUGCGCUAUUUACAUUUACAAAUCCCAACUCGCUCUAAAUAUACGAGUGGUGGCCCUCAUGUUUAGGGCAAGCUAAUUAAGCGAAUGAGCUAAUUAACGAAAGGAUUGUGGGCUUAAAUAAAAUAUUUAAAUAGAUGUGGCUAAUUAAAGAAAGGAUUAUGGGUAAACCGGUGAAAUAAUUGAAGAAAGAUUGUGGUCAUAAUAAAUAGAACAUUCAAAUAGAUGAGGCUGAUUAAAGGAAGGGUUUGAGAUAAAAAGGUGAUAAUUAGAAAGAAGGAUAUGUCGGUUUCAAUGUGUUGGGCUACUAAAUUAGAAAAAGAAAGAUUUGAUUCCCGACUAAAAGGGGUGAGGACGUCAUGGUAAUUAAAGGAAGCAUGAUACUUAAAUGAAAUUAGUGCGAGAUUAUGCUCGACAGAGAAAAUAUGUAAAGGGUAAAAUGCAUCGUAUUUUUUUAUGUUCAUUUUGUAGAAGGAUGCUGCGUUGCAACAUGUUCUUCAUAGUGAAUCUGGUGCUAUGGAACAUUAUGCUUGCACAAAACAUCAAUUUUUUUCGUUGCAACGCACGGGCUUGUGUGCUAGUCUAUAUCUAUAUCUAUAUCUAUAUCUAUAUCUAUACCUACUAACAAAGCAAGGUGAUAUUUUUGGUUUCGUCCCACGGUGAUUUUAUUUUCUAUUUAAGAUAUAUAUGCGAGGUGGUACUAAUUUGGGGACAUAUGACACACGCACGCACGUCCGUCGAGCACAACCCGUAUUGUGUCGUUGUGGCCCAUCUUAUAUCUUAGUUGUAGCCCGUUUAAAACACACACCCCGACGGGCUGACUGCAGUCCAGAAAAAUAGAAGGAAAAAAAUGCUCUCCAGAAUCGUACUAGCGAUCUCCAAUGUACUAAUGUACACGGCCAUGUGAGAUAAUGAGGGAAGGGUAAACUAAACGGAAUUAAAGGAGGACGAUGAAGGUUCUAGCACAUGGACGUUAUUAAAGGAGUUAGGAAGGCAAGGCUCCGGGCCUCCGGCGCAUGGCGUCCUUGAAUUAAGCGGAUUCAUCCAUAUUUGAAAAAAUAGGAAGAUUGACUCACGAUGUGGAUAAAUUAAAUGGAUUCAUUCCUAAUAAAAGAGAAUUAAAGGAGAUUAGGAAGAUGGGCGCACGACGUGGCCAAAUUCAAUGUACUUAUAUGAGUAAAAUCUACUUAAGCUAGCGGGAGCAACCUCCUGGACCUCCAUAGGAACAUUUUGCACCUUGGAUAGGUGAGAUAGAGUAACAACUACUCUUACUCUGUAACCUGUCUGUAUUCACAGUAAAAGGUGUCAUCCUGCCAUCUUCCCUAAUGAGUGAAAUAUCUGUGAUUAAUGCAGCUUUAUCAGACGGCAAGAAUCCACUACCCAUUGGAGGGGAUGGGAUAGACGGACUCCCCCCAACAACGCUACCAAUUGAAAUUUGGGUCGCUUUCUUCCAUAACUUGUCAAACAAUUUUGCUGGGUAAUAGCCCACUGGUGUUGGGGCCUUGUUGAAGCUGUAGUUUAUUCACCAAUUUCCCGUGGAUUUUUCCUGCCAUGAAAUAGAAGCAAUUUGAGUAAUGUAUGCCACAAAUUCAGCAACAUGUGAUUAGAUCAUUAUGAUCAAUAUGCUUACAAUUGGAAAGUAUACAAGCAAGAUAUAGUUAAUUACCCUAAACACUUUAAUUGUAAUCUUUUGACAUACACCAUGAACAUGAGAGACUGGUUGUAUUGUGCCACCUGGAGCGAUUUUUGACCCCUUAACAAGUUGGAAACCAGGGCAGUCCAUGUCAUAGCACCCUGUAUGAUAUGUGUCUCUCUGUUUCACACAAAGUUAUAUGGUCACUAGAUAUUCUAGCUUUGUGUGCUACAGUUGAGGAACAUAGUUUUUGAGUGAAAAGGCAGAAACAUACCGUCCAACUCGUGAAGAAGUGAGUAUGUGAGUCCCCAUAUUUUUUUGGGUCAACCUGGGAAGAAACUGAAGAGUCAUUAAGAGCAUUAUAAAUGGCAUCGAGUACGUCCAAAUUAAUGAUGGUAAGAUGGCUACAAUCUGUAAAAAUCAUAAUAUAUGUAAAUUACGACUUACUUGCCACCCGACCCAAAUUGCAUUGUGAUCUGUCUUUGGAUCACCCUCCAUGUUAGCAAUCCAAAUAGAUGUUAUGAUAUGACCAGCACUGAUAUUGUGUCCGUACACAUCCAUUGUAGCAGCAAGUCCAUAAUAGCUACUGGGACGUGUCCUAUGUGUCGCAAACUGUAGAAGGCAGAAAGUUAAAAACUUUGAAAGUGACGGUAAGAAAACAUUGGCUUGUUAAAAGUUCCAGGAUAGAGUGACUCACAUAAACGAUGUCAUUGGAAUUUUUUGAUGGAGAAGCAUGUGCAUACCAUGCCUGUAAGGCUUCAGAGUGAGUAUGCAAUCCAGAUAUUGCUUGUUCGGCUUUUGUUGCUUAAAAAAAAUAAAACAUGUGGAGAACAAAAUAUACAUUUUAAGGGAAAACUAAAUAUGCAUAGCUUAAAUAGUUAUAGCGGGUGACUGAAAAACCUUCCGUGCACAAAAUAUACAUUUUAAAGGUAAAACUAAAUACGCAUAGCUUAAAAUGAAACAUGUAGAGUACAAAAUAUACAUUUUAAAGACUAGAAAAUAAACUAUAAUGUGUAAAAUCAGCCAAUCAUGUACCAUGCAUCGAAUCUGAGAGGCACCAGCCCUAUGCCCAUGCCUUUGUGGCAAUCAAUCCGUGCAGAUUUGCCAUUCAUAUAAAAAAACCACUCAUACAUAGUACAAAGAUGAAAAUUAGGAAACUAAAAGAAAAUCCAGUUCGAAUAACCCCAGCAACUCCUAUACUCCAAACUCCUACACCUUCGCUAUGAGAGAAAUGGUUGUAGUUCAUCACAUAGUUGCAUUUCUCUAUUUUCACCUUCUUUUGGUACGGAUUAAUUUUUUUUCUAUAGAAUGAACAAUCCUUUCUAUUUUCACUACUAUAUCACCCCAUCCGUUUCGGAAAAAAAAACUACUAUAUCACCCCUUGGUUCGAACUACUAAUUACUCAAAUUUGUAGGAACAACACGUUUACCUUUCGGUUGGUUGGAUGCAAUCCACCUCCAUGGAUUUGGUGAGCAAUGAAAACAACAUAUAUGACAAGAAUAUGUAAUCCUAGAUUAAGUUUAGACAUGAUGAGAUGCAAGAUAAUUACAUGGGAUGAGUCCUUUAUAUAGAUGAAUUUCCAGUUUUAUUAGGGAAGAGUGAGUUCCAAAUCUCGCAAAUAAAGUGGUACAACUUAUAUCUUCACAUCUCUAUUAUUGAAUACAUAUGGACGGGAUGUAAAUGAAAGUUAAUAAAUGCGAGCAUUAAAACAAAAUAUUUAGGAAGGCAAAAACUUUGUCUUGUUAUAUUAACCGGAGAUCAAAUAACAACAAAGGACAAGUCCGGUCUAAUGUAAAUGAAAAAGACGAGUCUGGUCUUCUGCAAGCCAUUCAUUUCGGAAGAUAUAAAAGAACGUAUCCUCUCCCAUCCAAAUUAACUGUUGCUGUCUUAGUACAAUUUUGAAAAUCUCCAUGCAUGUAUAUCUGCAGAACACGUUUACGUUCUGGUUCCAUGGAAGAUGUGCAACACAAAUCUUCACAAAUAUGUACACAUAAAUGUAUAUGUGUACGCACUAGUUUUUUCAAUAUCUCACUGUAUCUCUAGCACUGAAUACAUAUGACAAGAUGCAAAUGAAAGAUAAUAAAUAUGAGCAUUAAUUUUUUUAAAAAAUUGUGAUAUUUUUACUAAAUUAGCCAAGAGCGGAUAUUUACAAGGGACGAGUUGUUUAUGUUGAUCAUUUUCUAUUAGCAAUUCAUUAAAAGAAAUGUGGAUAUCAAUCAAAUCUUCACAAAUGUGCACAUUUUUGUUGACACUAGUUUUCAAUAUAUAGCACAACAUACAUAUGGAUAUGGACAAUGUGUAAAUGAUAAUCAACAAAUAUGAGCAUUAAGUAAACUAUUUAUAAGGCCAAAGCUUUGUCAGUUACUCAGUUAUAUAAGUAAAGCAGAGAGAACAGUUAAUGAGUCCAUAUAGUCAAUUUCUACUAGUCAUUUAGUACAGAAGAUAUGAUUCUCAAAUCUUCACUAAUACUUGCAGACGAAUAUAUACGAGUCCCCAUUAGUUUUUCAAUAUUUCACACAACUGAUUUAUUUCUAUCUCUAGCACUGAAUACAGAUGGAGGUGUAGCCUGGAUAUCUGCAACUGCUCGUGCUCAAGCUGAAGCGGCAUCAGGAUUUUGGACAAUCCAGGAAUUGCCAACGGCGUCGUGAGCCAAGGACAGACUCGACUGACAGUGUUGUUGAAGAGCCAGUUGAUCCGACUCGAUCCUUUCCAGGUGUUGGACUGAUGUUAAGGGCUCCAGCGUGCAGGCUUUCAGAUUCAUGGUCCUGGUAACAUGUGACCGGAGCAUUUUCCCAAGGCUGUCCUGAUUUCCUUCAGCAUCUCGUCGAUCCCGAUGUGCCUCCUGCAAAGGGUGGGAAAACAAGGGAAAUGAGAUCUUGCAACGGCAGAAAAGAACAGCUUCUUGCAACACCGAGGAAAUUAAAGUGAAAAAUGUUCAAUUUCUACAACAUGAGGACAGUUGAAGCACUGCCCGAGAAAACUCGUGGUAUGAACAGCAAUGCAAGCACAAACUUAAGCAGAUAUCAAACAGGAACAACAGAUUAAGUACACUGCUUCGGUUCUUGCGGAUGCACGUAAAGCUCCGAGGAUUGUCGACAUGUGGUUGUUUUUCUUCUUCAAGGAAAUGUCGUCAUGCAUGCAGAUCAGCUUUUUUCCUUUAUCAAAACGCAUUGCCCCAACCACAAUGUCACAUCACAUGCAAGUAGAUCAGUACUGUCUCUGCAUGUUCCGCGGGCUCUCUAUCCUGGUUUGUACUUGCACUCUCUCUCCUGGCUAAUUUACACCAUAUGGGUGGGGAGAACGGGCAGCGUGCUGAAUGCAUGGCGCAGUACGCUUGUGUCACUGUGCACAGGUUAAGCAAAUAUCCAAUAUUAUGAGCUGUUUAAGAACACAGUAAAACAUGUGUUUAGUUGGUCAGGUGAGGAGACUUAGACUAGCCAUAAUGGGAGUAACUUUAGCAGUAACUUCGAAUCCAACUCAGCAAAUUUGCUUAUGUGGCAAUGAGUUAACGAGGAGAGAGGUACUUGUAGUAACUUAGCUAGUUACUGUAACAUCACAUGUCCCAAUGCAAUAUGAGUCUGUAACUUAAUAAAUGAAUCUUUGCUUGUUAUCACCCUUAAGUUACUACCCACUAUGAAGAUAAUAACAUAGUCUAGAGAUAUGCGUAUGUUACUAAUGUAUGUUACUAUCCAUUGUGGCUAGUCUUACAGUACGCUUGCACCGAUUGCAGCUUGAGGUCUUGGAUAGUCCCCAAGUUCCUUAUCAUCGUCUUCUGACAUAUGGUGUCUGCUGAAGUUUACAUUUAGCUUUUCUUUGCUGGCAUUCUUGUCGUCGCGUGCGUAUGAAUUCGCGUAGGUAGCGGGCGGUCGUGGCGGUUCUGUUGCGGCCUCGCCGUGACGAGCGCGUUGUGUGUGCGGCCUGGGCAAGCGAGUCGCCAGGCGUGCGUGCGCGCGCAGCGGAGGCUGAUCGCGUGGGGAGCUACGUCCCGUUAACUACAAAACUGGCCGCAGCUUGGUUUAGUUGAGAGAGUGUUUGGAUACAUUUUAGUCUCAUGACUAAAUGUAGUGAGAUUAAAACUUGCUAGCCUUACCCAUGCUUGAUUUCAAAUACUAAAGAGAUUAAAAUCAAGCUAAUGAGCAUUUAUUAUCCUCCAAACCCUCCAAUUCAGAACUCGCCUGUGUUAAAUGAGAGAAGUUAAAUGAGGAGAAAGAGGACUAAUCCACAUUUUAGUAGAGGUACCUCUAACUAAAAAAAUUAGUCUUAAGACUAGUUUUAGCCUUUCUUUAUUCAGGGGUGCUUGAAACUUUAGCCUUUUAAAAUGACUAUUUUCAGUCAGACUAAAAUAAGUUCCUUGGAUUCAAACACCCUCUGAAUUAUUAGUGGUUGGGUGUGAUGUGUGCAUGCAUGGGUUAGUGGCCGGAUCAUGUGUGGGUGCGUGCGUGUGCUGGUGUGUGUACGCACCUGAGUAUAAAGCCCUUCUGUGCUGCUCGUUGGUCGUUGAUUCGUGCCAGAGUUUGAGCUCUAUGAAAGAAGCGUCGUUCGUGCGGUGUGGCGUCCGUCGUCGGAAAAAAAUCCAGUGUCCUCCUCUUCAUCUUCUACCUCUGUUCAUGAGCAAGCGAGAGAGAGAGGGAGAGUGGGCUGGUCCAGGGUUUGUCCGAACAUGAACUUCUGAAACUAUUUAUGUGCAGAAAGCCAGAAAUAAAGUAGAACAAAGGCGCCAAUAUUUAUCGCAAUACAGCUUGAAACUGCUCCAGACAUGUGACGUUAGAGCAUGAUUAAUAGUAUAUCCAAUACUUUUUUUUUUGCGGGGCUGUAUAGCCAAUACUUGGCUAUAUGGAGUUGUCACAGUCAUUUAUAGCCAACCUAAUAUCCAUUCAUAUAAUAGUUAGUCAUACUAGUAUACUAUACCAUUAAUAUAUGGUCCACCACUUUCUCCCACAAAGGGUGUUAGAGUUCGUGCUACAGCCGGCUGUAAGUGUGUAGCCUGCUUCUAAUAUAUCUCCUCUUCUCUCUCCUCCAACUAGAUACACAUCUGAUUUGGCACUCUUAUAGCCCACAUACAUCACUUUAUUGUAAUUUCUCGUAGUUACUCUGUAGCAACACACGGAUAUUUAGCUAGGCAAUCUUCUUUAAUAAAAAAAACCCAUAAAAGGAUCUUUUAUUAAUUGGAUAAACUGUUACACACACAUGUAAAAGAGGAUUUAUGUCACAUUUGGAUGGAGUCUGUUUUGGCAUGGAGAUUGUAAUUGUCAAUCACAAUUUAGUUCACCAAUAAUUCUGUAAUAACAACAACCUUCAAGGUCACCUCAUCGACCUCUUUACCCGACUCCUCAUUGAACAUGUCUAUGUUGAUAUCCUCAGCACCGAGGCCCUCAUUCACGGAGACGCACCGCAUAAUGAAGAACUCGUCCUUGCACACCGUCGCAUGUGGCGCCCUCUUUUGCGCUUGCAGUGUUACCAUGAUAUUGCACUUGGAUCGUGGCGGCACAACACAUUUCUCCAGCUCUAUGCAGUAUUGCAGUGAGCCUGUCAUUUCGACAUCAAAGGCAACAUAAUCAUUGGUUAUGUUGGUUAGCUGAAGUGAACACGGUAUCGGCUUGUUUAUCUCGAAGGGAAAAUUCAGCUCAAGCCUAUCAAACUCAAGCAGCUCCCACGGGUAAGGGCUUAUCUGCAUGGAAAAAAUUGGCACUUUCAUAAGUACGUUUUAAGCUAACAGUGGAGUAAUCAAAAUUUUGGAGCCUACGAGCUUACCGGGCCAACUAGCGAGUCACCAACAUUGUUGAUGUGCUCAUUCGUAUUUUCCAAUGCAUUAAGCAUACUGACUAUAUCUGAUAUUUUAGGCCUCUUCUUUGGAGAGUCUAACAAGCACUUUAGCGCUAUUUCAAUGCAUUUAGUUACCUGCUGGUAUCCAAAUAGUGGAUAAUUCACUGAUUUAUUCCACCUGUACCUCCACCUUCUAAGUACCUAUCAUUUCAAAAAGGUUAUUUAUAAUGACCCAUAAAAAUGAUUUAUAAUGAUGACUUACACAAAACCACCAAAUAACAUCAACAGGAUCUCAGAUAUCGAGACUGUCCUCGAGUAAAUUGCUACCUUUUUCACCCUGCCUUAGCUUAUUGUUUGCACCAUGGGUUCAUGCUUGGAUUGUUCUUAUCAACCAAAUAAUUAGCAAUGUGAUCCAAAUAUUUGCGCCAUUAGCUAGAUUUGUGACUUGUUGUUACAUCAAUCUGUAGUUGUGCAUUUUUGUUACUUUAACUUAGAGAUGGUGAUACACCAUUAUGAAUGUGCACAUUCAAGAUUAUAUAAGAACUUGUAGUAAAAACACACCAUCAUGCACACAUUUAUUUGGCAUUGUUUUUUUCUUGGCUAUAGUUAUUUGCCUCCCAACAAACUUGAUUUAUCUCACGUUUCAUUAGCAUAUACCAUUCAGAAUACUAGGAAUUAUUACAACCAAUACGCGCAUCUUGAGAAAACAUUACCAUACUUGGUGAAAAUCUUUUCAUAAGUACAUUAUGUUGUUGGUAGGUAUUGUGUUAGUUAUAAAACAAGACUUUAGGCAUUGCAAUCUGUGGCUCGGCAUGCAAAACUAUAGUCCAAUACUAGUUUUAGUUUUCACUUCUCCACUUCUCGUGCAUGUAUUUGUGUCUAAUUUUUCAUCAAAUUCUUUCAACAAAUGUCACAUGAAAAAAUAAAUAUAAUCAUUCAUAAAUUAUACAUAAACCAUGUGCUUCGUUCCCUGCCUGCCUCACCAUUGGCCAUACUGCAUUUGUUUUCGUAGUUUUGCGCAAUCACAUGCCUCGAGAUGCUCACAUGCAUGCAUCUUGUUCUGAUUAACCCUGUCGACUGGCACAACUAAGGCGGUGUACAUGCCACUGUGUAUUCAUAAAAAAUACUGCUCCCUCCAUCCAAAUUAAUAGACGUAGCUUUAGCACAAAUCAGAGGGGGUACAACAUUCUGUUUGACUCACUCACGUCAUAAUUUGUUAUAUUUUAUCGUCCACAUAUUAUUCUGCACAACAGAGAAACGACAUAUUAUACCCAGCAUGAUUUGUUGCCUCUAGCAGACAUCGUUUUGCUUCCUUGUGAAAUAUAAUUGGCUGCAAACAUAGCACAUUUGCAUCAGCCCGCUAUGCACCUAGCUGAUUCGGGGGAAUCAUUCGCUUCUCUGUUCUAGCGCCGCUAACUCCACUAGGUGACCGAUGGCUGAUGCAUGCCUCCGCUCGUCUAUGUUCUACUCAUGUCGACCUCUUGUAUGUUAAUACAUCUGAGUCGUUUUAUGUUGAAGUUGAUUGUCUGAAACUACAUUGAUGUUAUAUAUCUAUAAGAAACUAUAAUUUUGCAUGCACAUUCAGGUUUGGGUUAUUAUCAUUUAUAUAUUCAAAAAGUAAUUUAUCUCACAUAGUUAUUUUGAAUUUUAGCUCAAUUAGGACUUCAUGUAUAAUUUGUAUUAAAACCAAAUUAUUGUUAAAACAAAUCGUUAAAGUUAGUAUGUAAAGUAGAGUUGCAUUGUUUCUCCAACUCAUCAGAGUCGUACUAUUUACUAAAAAACAGCGCCGUACUAUUUAGCCACCUAUUACAGGUUAUAUGCACUACUGAUUUCUUCAAAUAAACACAUUUGUUUACGUUUUUUUUGUAUAAAUAAUCACAUUCGUCUACAUCUUCAUAAUCUUUUUUUGUGAGAUACAUUUUCAUAAUCUUGACCUGUCACGAUAGAAAAGAAGUAUUUAGCUUUGUGGAUGAAUAUGGCGUACUAUAUUGUGAUAAUUUAGACUUGCAACAAUAGAAAAUACUCUACAAUAAUAUAAUAUAGAUUGAUUGAUUUCUUUGCCGGGCUUAAUGCUAAUGUAGCUAUUAUUCCUCUAAAUUGAUAAGAGGGUGGAAUAGUAUUUUAGCCAUAUUCUUUGAAUUACCGUUAUCUUGCAGAAAAGCGUAGAAGUAUAAUUUUAUUCAAACUUCAUGAAAAUAUACAUCAUGUAAUAUUCAUUCCAACUGUUGGACAUAGCCUGAUUUAUUGACAACAUGUCUUGUUUCAGAGCUACUAAUACUUGAUUUCGGUAUAGACGUAUAAUAUAGUUUGAAAUUUGAUCCAGUAUAUGCAGGAAUAGAGCAAGAUGUGGCUUCCAUUGUAAUUCUACCUGAAGUACUUGAAAAAGAGUAAGGUAGACAAGCUUGAACUAUGAGUCGAAUAAUCCUUACAUUUUGAAUGUCAAGGUUGCCCUUACAUCCAGUUACGAGUUCUGUAAUUAUAACUCCCAAACUGAAUAUAUCUGACUUGAUUGACACCUGACCAUGCUUUAUGAAUUCCGGAGCGCAAUACCCACUGCAUGAAAGUAUGAUCUAUAGUUAUAUUAUCUAUGAAACUGCAUGAAGAAAACUUUGUAAAAGGUGAGACAGAAAAGUGGGCUCUAUAUGUGCAAGCUUACAGUGAAAUUGCGGAGUUACUAGUGACAAUGUGUGUUACUCCAUCGAGUAGUUUUGAUAUACCAAAAUCUGUUAUUUUUGGUACCAUAAGAUCAUCAAGCAGUAUAUUGGCAGGUUUAAGAUCCCUGUGAAUAAUACCCUUUUCCUUAUGAAGAUACUCCAAGCCGCUGCAAAUUCCUUUAAUAAUUUGGUAACGGGUAUGCCAUUUAAGUCCCCUUAAUUCAUCUAUAUAAGCAAAACAGAGUAAAAGCCAGGAAAAUAAGAAUAAUAAGGAAAUUACAAUAAACUUCGUAACAUGUCACAUGCAUUUUCCUACCGGCAAGAUAUUUGUCGAGGCUUCCUUUGUUGAUAUACUCGAAGCAAAGUAAUCUUUCUCUUAUCUCUGCAAAAAUAAACUUUGGUGUUUCCCCUGGUUCUGGAUUUAUCAUCGCUUUACUCUCUGUAUUGGCACAGUAACCUAGUAACCGUACUAUAUUUUUGUGUUUAACACUGAUCAGGAAAGUAGCCUCGCGAUAAAAUGACUCCUCUUCGAUUGUAUGGCUGUUCAGAAGUCUUUUAACAGCAACGCUCCCGUUUUGAAGAUCACCCUAUUUAACUUGUCUUGUUAGCACAACCAAGAGCAUUUAAACCAAGUUCUGCUCUGCUGUGAUAAAACUUUUACGAUUGAGGAUUUUAGAACCUAAGAUUACCUUGUAAACGAUUCCGAAUCCACCACGACCAAUUUGUCGCGCAUCAGCAAAAUCCUCAGUGAUGUGUUGUAAAAGUCCUAGCGGCAGAUUCGUUAGCUCCACGCUUUCAUCAAGUAGUGUAUGCUCCAGGACAUUAGAUUCAGAUUUUAUGUCCACCCUGAUUACAGCAUGCACUUCCAUUAUCAGACCACAAAGAAAUUAAUUUGCUUCCUGAGCACUGUGAUGUUCAUUGAUGCAGGGUAAGUAUUCUUAGUUGAGAUUAUUUUAUUCAACUUAGCAUGACAAGUAUAUAUGCAACAAUGACGGCGUUAUAGAAUCCUAAGAUGAAGCUCAAGGAAGCUCUCAUGGUGAUGCUCACUGAGAUUCCGAAAAAAAAUUGCGCAACAAAUGCAUGGCACUUGCAUAAUGUUUCAAACAAAAUGCAUUGUCGAAUCAUGAUUCAAGACUGGACAGUCAGGAGAUCACUGAAGAAAUCCCAGAAGCAAUGUGACAUGUACCCUAUCAAUUGUCUUGGUAUUAGAGUGCACUUGCAUCAACCAUAGUUAUCACGUAGUACAUGCAGUUGAGCACUGGUGGGAGCUCAUCCUACCUUUCUCUCGAAGCAUCAAACAUUAUGUUGGCCAUACCAUGUAAAAUCCCAGAACCUCCUUCGACCUUCACAGAAAAUAAUAUGUUCGGUAAUUGUUUCUUGCUUAAAUCAACGUAGCAUGCAAUAGCCUACCAUAUCAAUCUUAUCUUUAACUUCCUACCGCUGGACAGUCCCAGGAAGUUAAUUGGUACCUUCUGUUUGAUUGUAUCCCUCUCUGGGCUAAAAUAGAUACCGAUUGCGUCAAUCACGUCUCCAGCAUUGGCAAAGAAGCCGACAAUACUACCAUUGCUCUUAGCGGACUUCGAAAACGAGUCCCGCCUCCAUUUCCAUAUGGUCCGUAGCUACCGGUAUUGGUGACAAAGUAAAGUGAUGUUACAACAUCUGAGUUUUCCGAGUUCCAGCCUACUGUUCCAGAAACUUCCAUCAAGAAAUCUGACUGGCCAAGGAGAAUCUACAAGUGAAGCAUAUUAAUUAUCAUCACGGCCAUAUGUAGAGAGGUAUAAUUAUUUGAGAUUAUAAGGAUGCAAUAAUGUUUCUUAUCUGUUGGUAGUGAACUAGUGAUCGCCAUUAAAAUUAUACUACUCCCUAUAUGCAUAUUAAACCAUCAGCAACGCACGGUUGAUAGAAGUUAUUAUUAAUAAGACUUGUACUCACCGUGUGAGAGCUCCCUUCUAGAGGAUUAGCCGUCCCUCCCCAUGGACCACCGGAGUGUUGUUGACCAUCGCAAUCACUAUAUGUAAACAUAAGUGAAUUGAUUACCCUACCGCUAUGAAUGACCACGCUUAUCAGACGUCGUGGCAACACAUCCACGUCACUAGGCCUCCCUGAACCACCACCCCAUGGCCCAAUUUUUGUAACCGGGUCCUGAGUGCAAAUCCGGUUCACGAAACUUCAGAAAAUAUUAAAUAGUCUGAAAAUAAAUGAACAAAACAAUUUAAUUGCAAGUCUAUUGUCACCUGUUCUUUCGUUGAUCCCCUGUCAUUUGGCUUCACAUAUACACCAAUUGCGUCGACCACCCUCCCAGUAUUAGCGAAGAAGCUAACGAUGCUGCCAUUGCUUAGCACUGGACUGUGAAAAGGAAUUCCUCCUCCUCCUCCAAAAGGUCCAUACCGACGAGCAUUGGUAAUAAACAUAACGGAUGUUACAACGUCAGAAGAAUAUUGCGUAGAGGAACCAGUUGUUCCAGAAACUUCGGCCAGAAACUCAGAGGGUCCUAACAGAAUCUACAAGUGGAGAAAAAUGGUAAUAAGCCAAGGUACAAGGGGGUAAGUUGAACGCACGCCUUGAAAUGGAAGCAUGCAAGUCCUGAAAUGGAAAGGAAGCUUGGCUACAUACCAAUGUAAGACGUUUUUUCACACUAAUGUGUAGUGUCAAAAAAAAGUCUUACAUUAUGGAAUGGAGGGAGUUGUUACUACAGUAUAUUUUAGAGAUAACUGCACUGGUGGUACACCAAUUUAUCCUAAAGGUUUGCUUUGGUUCACUAAGUUGCCAAACGUAAUGAACUAGUCCACAAACUUGUCAUGCGGAUAGAUUUGGUCCAAAUUGUAUCUGGCAGGGCUCGGCGUGACCACAUGGACUGCCAUGUUGGCAAAGGAGUCACACAUGGCACACAUGACACGGAGGAACUAGCCCGGCGACAUGUCGUCUCUACAACUUAAAAGGUGUCUAGGCAUAUUGGUCAAGGACCUAAGUGUGGGGAUGGCGACUGGCGAAGCCCCUAGCGAUGCGGGCGCUGCGGGAGCCCGGCCGCCGCCCUCCCCGUCCCGGCCCUCGAGCCCCGCCCCCCCGCCGGCGUCCGCCUCCCUCGCCCCCUCGCCGGUCCCUUCCUCCGGCUCUCCGCGGCUGCUGUGGGCCGACAUCGCCGAGGCCGACGACGUUGCCGCUGGCCGCCCCGUCGUGUGCCGGGAUCGUGUUUCCCCCAAGGUCCCGCCGCGGCCGCCACCUGACCCUGCCGGUGGCCUUACUCCCAGGGGUGGGAGUUCGGCCGCCCGUGGGUCGGGACGGCGCCGUAGUCUUCCUCCUACCGCCUCCCCGGCACAGGGGAUGCAAGNNNNNNNNNNNNNNNNNNNNNNNNNNNNNNNNNNNNNNNNNNNNNNNNNNNNNNNNNNNNNNNNNNNNNNNNNNNNNNNNNNNNNNNNNNNNNNNNNNNNNNNNNNNNNNNNNNNNNNNNNNNNNNNNNNNNNNNNNNNNNNNNNNNNNNNNNNNNNNNNNNNNNNNNNNNNNNNNNNNNNNNNNNNNNNNNNNNNNNNNNNNNNNNNNNNNNNNNNNNNNNNNNNNNNNNNNNNNNNNNNNNNNNNNNNNNNNNNNNNNNNNNNNNNNNNNNNNNNNNNNNNNNNNNNNNNNNNNNNNNNCCCGGCUCUCGCCUCCUGGAAACCCGCGACCACGGCCGCCCCCUCCUCUGCUCUGUCCUCCUCUGCGACGGCCGGUCCGACUCCGGCGAUCCCGCCCGAGCUCGCGCCGGUCCUCUCCCGUCGGACCCCCUUCCGGCCCUUCUUCCCCUCCCGUAGGUCCGCCGGACCACAUCCUCAUGGCCCCUCCACCGCCCCGCCUUCCCCUCGCCGCCCCCGUUUGCCCCCGCCGGCGGCCACCGCGGCGGUGCUCGGGGAAACCCUAGCGCCCCGCUUGGUCACCCCGGGACGGUCGUACCGGGCCGCUGUGAUCCUGGGCCGGCCCACGGACAUGGUUGCAGGCCCCUCCCUCAGGCUGGUGGGAGCGGGUGCGGCCCAUGGGAAACCGGCCUCGGCGGCUGGGGUGGGCCGGCUAGGCAGGCCGGAUCUGCCCCGCCUGGCCCAAUCUCGCCCCCUAGCGUCCGAGGGCCCGGUUAGGCGUUCCAUCUGGCCGCCCGUAGGGUUCCCACGCCCCCCUCUCCUCCCCCCUCCCGCGCCGCCAGCCCCCUGCCUCGCCCCGGUCUCUACCGCCCCGCCCCGACCCCUUCUCGCNNNNNNNNNNNNNNNNNNNNNNNNNNNNNNNNNNNNNNNNNNNNNNNNNNNNNNNNNNNNNNNNNNNNNNNNNNNNNNNNNNNNNNNNNNNNNNNNNNNNNNNNNNNNNNNNNNNNNNNNNNNNNNNNNNNNNNNNNNNNNNNNNNNNNNNNNNNNNNNNNNNNNNNNNNNNNNNNNNNNNNNNNNNNNNNNNNNNNNNNNNNNNNNNNNNNNNNNNNNNNNNNNNNNNNNNNNNNNNNNNNNNNNNNNNNNNNNNNNNNNNNNNNNNNNNNNNNNNNNNNNNNNNNNNNNNNNNNNNNNNNNNNNNNNNNNNNNNNNNNNNNNNNNNNNNNNNNUCCCCGACGCGCGACUCUCACCGCCCCUCCCCCCACCCCUCGCGCCGCUCGCCGGUCCGCGACGACCGUCGCUCGCGGUCCCCGACCCGCCGCUCCUCCCCUAGGGCGGAGUCCCGGGAUCGUGGGCAGUCGCCGGCCGGGGAGACGCGGCCGUCCUCGCGUCGGCGGUCCCCGUCGCCGACCCAUCGCCGGGACCGGUCCCGCUCCCCGCCCCGUUCCAUGCCCGUCGCCAAAUCCAACAACUCGCAGACCACACGGCGCUACCAACCGCCCCACACCCAGGCUGCGUUCCCGCCGUCUAAUGGCAGUAAUGGCAACCGGGGACGCCAGGGGCCCAAGAAGAAGAAGAAGAAGAAGAAGAAGAAGAAGGGCCCCCCGCGCCCUCAGGCUGCCGCAUCCACCGCCGCCGCAGCUCCCCCUCCGGGCUCCAAUGCCCCCACCGACGGCCCGCCGUGCUUCAACUGUGGCCUGACUGGUCACUUUCAGGUGGCUUGCCCCAAUCCCCCGAUGUGCUACCUGUGCAAGGAUUCCGGACAUCCAGCGAUUCUUUGUCCGGAUCGCCCGGUGACGGAGGAGAUCAUGAUGUAUGGCCACGGCAUCGAAGACAUGGCCUUCUUCCACAUCGAGGUGCCUGAGAUUCCCCCUCCCUCCCCCUUGCCGAUGGCGAUUGUGAUGGUCGUGGGCAAGGCCAUCGCCACCCUGGAGCUGCUGGAGGCCGAGCUCAACCACUUGUGCAGAUGCACGUGGGACUGGCAGGUGACCCCCACCGUCUCCAACGCCUUCUCUGUGAUCUUCCCCGACGCCAUGAGUAUGGGAUUCUGUACCGGCAGCAACAACAUCACCCUGGCCCUCAACGACAUUGUGGUGAACAUCUCUGAGCCGCGUUGGGAUCCCAAGGCCGUCGCUGUCCUGGACACUGCGUGGCUCCUCAUCUCCGGCCUGCCAGAUGUGGCCCGGUCUGAGCGAGUCAUCCGCAGCAUGUCGAAGAUCCUUGGCAAGGUGGUGGUGGUCGACGAGCUCUCCUUACGCAAGGAGGAGGAGGUCCGGGUCAAGGUGAAAUGCCUGGACUCCUCCAAGCUCCACGUCACGAUCCGAGUCUUCUUCAACGACGACGGCUACGACCUCAAGAUCUGCCCCGAGCCCCCGAACCACGUCGGCCGCCCCUGCUUCUCGGAUGAUAGCCACCUGGGGGGUGGCCCUGCUGAUGCCGACGACUCCCACCGCCGACGCUCACGCCACUCACGCCUCGACGACCCCGGAGAUGAUGAGGACGGCUCGGAGCACUCCCGCUCCCCCUCCCGCAAGCCAUCCAACCCACCAGCAGGGCGGGGUGGCUCCGGGGUGGGGCGCACUCGAGUGUCGGCCGCGGACCUCGCGGUGGCCCUCCGCUUGGCCACCCCAAUGGUCCGGCCCUCUCUGUCUCCAUCGGAGUCGGCCAGUGACAUCUUCAGUGUGGGGCUCCUCGUUGCCCCUCCAUCGUUGCCUCGCUCCCCCUGCAUCGUCUCCGCUCGUCGCUCCUCGCCACCGGGGCCGGACCCUCCUUCCCCCGCCGGCCCGACCUCCCCGGCCCCCUCUGGUGGAGGCGGAUGCGAGGUCCCCAUGGCACCUACCUUGCCCCCACCUCCCGCGGUGGUCGCGGCCGGUGCCAACCGGGAGCUCGCCGACCCGCCCGCUCCGCCGGCGGCCUCCGUCGGCCUCCUCCCCUCGCCGACCUCCCCGUCCGCCUCGGCAGGUGUGGACGUCUCCUCGCCGGCCUCCGCGCACCCCCCUUCGACGGUGGCGUACACCAGGCGGACCCGCUCCACCUCAACGCCGGUGACGUCCUCCCGCCGCAGCGCUCGCCUCGAGGCGGCAAGGCUGGCCGACUCUCCGGCGCCGUCCAUCGCCGAUCGCGCGGCGCUCCGCGCGGCGGUCCGGAACCUCGAGUCAGGUGCGGACUCAGACCUCCCCAGUUCCUCCAGUUGCUCAUUUUCCGCUCUUGAGGCCGCUCCACUUGGCCACCUCGCUAAGGUGGCCAAUGACUCGGCCAUAGUUUUCAGGGGGGAAGUUGGUCCCCCCUUAGAACAGAUCGCGGCCAUUAGGGCCAGGGAGAUCCUGGACGGCAAGCUUGCCGAGACCCACGCCCGCCUGCUUCGGCCCCCCGAAGGGACGCCCAUCCCCCACGCGGGCCUGGCCCCUCCGGUGGCCGACGGAAUAGUCCAUGGUCGCACCCGUUCGCGCACUGCAGCCCUCCGCGCGCAAAGCGCUUCCCGUGUUCUGGGGUCAAGCAGCCCCCCGAUGGGGGCUUAGAUGCGGGCCUUGUUCUGGAACAUCCGCGGCUUCGGCCAUGAUGGUCGUCGCCGCCAACUCAUAGAGUACAUCCGUGACGAAUGCAUUGACAUCAUCGCCAUACAGGAAACCUGGCGCACUGAGUUCGCCCUUCCGGAGCUUCAGCGCCUUAGCUCCCACCUCUUCGCUUGGCACUGGCUCCCUUCUAGCGGGACCUCAGGCCACUCUGGCGGCAUCCUCUUAGGGGUAAAGGAUGCCACCUUUGAGGUGGGUGGCAUGGACCGGGGCGAAUUCUUCGUUAGUAUGGAGAUCUACGAGCGAGCCCUAAAUUUCAAAUGGGAGGUCAUUAUUGUCUAUGGUCCGGCAGACCAUCGCCGCUCCCCGGCCUUCCUAACAGAGCUGCGGCUGAAGAUCUAUAACUCCCUCCUCCCAGUCCUAGUGGGCAGAGACUUUAAUCUCAUCCGAUCCCCGGAUGAGAAUAAUAAUGCCCGAAUCAACCUCCCUCAGAUGCAACUAUUCAACGAUUGGAUCGCGGAGCUGGGGCUCCGCGAACUUGAUCGGACGGGUGCCAGGUUCACCUGGACGAACCGUCAGAUUGUCCCGACACAAUCCGUGCUGGAUCGUGUCCUAGUUUCCCCGGAAUGGGAAUUACGCUGCCCCCUUGCUUCGCUCCGGGUGGUCACUCGGAUCGGGUCCGACCAUGUCCCCCUCCUCCUCUCCACCGCUGACGAGCGGCCCCCCACCGCGCCGCGUUUCCGGUUCGAACCCUUCUGGCUCAAUCAGACCGGCUUCCGGGAGGCUGUUAUCGCCCGCUGGAUUUUUUCCCGCUCUGCUCCUCACCGAUCCAUGUCCGCCAUUGAUUCGUGGCAUUUCUGCGCCAAGCUUGCCCGCCAAUUCAUGAAGGGCUGGGGGGCAAACCUUGGCCGGGAUCUUAGAGAGCGCAAAAGGCCCUCCUGUUGGCUAUCCAAGCCUUGGAUGCCCGCGCCGAUUCGAUAGGGAUCUCCCCGGAUGAGUGGAUGCCGCGUUACGACCUAGAGGACCAGCUAUCCAUCAUUUACACCGACGAGGAAGCCUACUGGCGCCUUCGGGGCACCCAGCGGUGGGUCCUUCGGGGCGAUGCCAACACCGCCUACUUUCAGGCGGUGGCGAACGGCCGGCAUCGUCAUAACUCCAUCCACUGCCUAUGGGAUGGCGACACCCCUAUCGUUCUCCCCUCGGCCAUUCGUACCCAUGUAGACGGCUUCUAUAAAGCCUUAUUUACCCCCACCCCGCGGGGUGGGGCUAGUCUGGCCCUCGACAUUUGGUCGGGUGCACAAUUGGUCUCGGCUGAGGCCAACGCGGCAUUAGUGGCCCCCUUCGAUGAGGCCGAGGUCCUCGCCGCCAUUAAGGGGAUGAACCCCUCCUCGGCCCCGGGUCCGGAUGGUUUGCCCGUGCCGUUCUUUAAAACGUUCUGGGAUACCAUCAAGCCGGAGGUCAUGGCUCUGUUUGAAGAAUUCUAUACGGGCUCUAUGGACCUUGGACGUCUCAACUAUGGGAUCGUGACCCUCAUCCCCAAGGUCCCGGGCGCCUCGGAUAUUCGCCAGUUCCGCCCAAUCACUGUGAUCAACGUGAUCUUUCGGAUCCUGGCCAAAGGGUACGCCAAUAGGGUGACCCUUCUAGCUGACACGAUCACCCAUCCAAAUCAAUCCGCCUUCAUACAAGGCCGAUUCAUUCUCGAUGGCGUGUUAGUCUUCCACGAGGUCCUACACGAGGUCUGAGUAAAACGCCAUCGCGUGGUCUUUCUAAAGCUAGACUUUCAUAAGGCCUAUGACACGGUCCACUGGCCAUUCCUGCGGGAUGUACUGCUUCGCAAGGGCUUCGACGAUCGUUGGGUGACCCGCGUCAUGCAGCUUGUCUCUUAUGGCCGGACCACGGUUAACAUCAACGGGGACAUUGGACCCUACUUUCCCACCCUCUGUGGGGUACGUCAAGGUGACCCCUUCUCACCGUUCUUGUUCAACAUGGUGGUCGAUGCCCUGGCAUCCAUCUUGGAUAGGGCUAAGGCUGCUGGCCAUAUUCACGGCUUAGUCCCCCACCUAGUAGGAGGGGGAGGGGUCUCCCUCCUACAAUAUGCGGAUGAUACCAUUAUAAUGGUUGAGGGAUCCGCACUAGAUAUUACUAACCUGAAGUUCCUCCUCCUGUGCUUCCAACAAAUGUCAGGCCUAACCAUUAACUUCGACAAGAGCGAAGUGAUGGUCCUCGGGCUCCCCGUGGAGGAAGCACAGCACAUCGCUAACCGACUAAACUGUCGGCUGGGUUCUUUCCCCACGACCUAUCUGGGGAUCCCCAUUAGUGAUUCGCGCCUCACCAUGGCUGAUCUUCGUCCCACGGUGACCCGUCCGCAACACCGCGUUGAGCCUUGGAAAGGGCGCUGGCUAUCUAAGGCGGCACGUGUGAUACUUAGCAACUCUUCGCUUACUAGCCUCCUUUGGUUCCUCAUGAGCUUCUAUAGCCUCCAUGAAACCCUGCACCAGGAGAUUGCCAAAUACCAAUCCAGAUUCUACUGGGCCGGCGAUGGGGAUAAGCAGAAGUACCACAUGGUCAGCUGGCCAGAUAUAUGCAAACCCAAGGACCAGGGCGGUCUUGGGAUUUUGUCCGCCCGGCGCAUGAACAUUGCCCUCCUGACACGUUGGCUCUGGCGCAUUGCCAAUGGAGAUGGAGGUCUCUGGCUUACGAUAAUCCAGAACAAGUACCUGCGUGGACAACCUCUCGCAUUUUGUCAGCGCUCCGGCGGCUCCCAGUUUUGGCAAGCCGUCGUCCAGCUGCUGCCUGUUUUGCGCAUUGGCACUUCCAUCUCGGUGGGUACUGGGUCCUCGACCCUGUUCUGGCUUGAUAGAUGGCUGGGAGACACCCCACUAGCUGCCCGAUUUCCAGUCCUCUUCGACAUUGUGGUAGACCCUCGGGUCUCUGUCGAGACGGCCCUUAUUGACUUAGGGCGCCUCGCUUUCUGCCGCCCCUUCGGCCCCCUUGAGAUUGCGGCUUGGGAUGCCCUACUCCAGGACAUCGCCCUCCUGCCGAUAGACGUUACCGACUCUCCGGAUGCCAUAUCCUGGCGACUGGAACCCUCCGGCCGCUUCUCCACAAGAUCCCUAUACGCGGCUAUCGCUCCAUCGACGGCCCCCGAGCCCUUCAGUUUGAUUUGGGACAUCCGCCUGCCCCUGAAAAUCAGGAUUUUCCUGUGGCAAUGGAUCCGCGGCCGCCUCCCAUUCGGUGUGGAGGUCCUUAAACGCCACGGACCUGGGGAUGGAAUGUGCCCCAUGUGCGGCACGGUAAAGGAUACCAACCACAUCUUCUUCUCGUGUUACAUGGCACAGUUCCUUUGGUCCUGUUUCCGCGAAACGGUUGGGGGCCAGUGGCGCAAUACCAACGUUCCUGACCUGCUCGCGGAAAUUCAGGCAUCCCCCCCCCCUCGCUACAGGCAUAUUAGAUGGCUUUGCGUGGGGAUCAUUGCCUGGACGCUAUGGACUGUCCGCAAUAAGCUAGUCAUCCAGAAGGUGCCUCUUCGGCGUGCUACUGACUCCACCUUUAAAUUGUGUGGUUACCUGCAGCUCUGGCGGCCGCUUAGCCGCCCACAGGACCGGGACGUCAUCAGCACCCUCCUCGCCGACCUGCGUUCGAUGGCCUUCCGCCUGGCGCCCCCGCUCCCCCCGCCACCUCCGGAGCCAGACUAGACUCUUUGUCUCUCCCGGCGUGUGUGCCUUUUUUGUUUUUCUUUUAGGGCUUGUUGAGCUGUGCCCUCAGCACUAACCCUUUCGUUUCUUGUUGUCUGGUACUUUCGUGUGUGUGCGUGUGUGUUCUGGAACCUUGUUGGAUGUUGGCUUGGGCAUUUGCUUUAUAUAUAAAGCGGGGCGAAAGCCUUUUUCGGUAGUCUCUACAACUAGGCCCCUCUCUUAUCUCCUUACCUCGUUUUUGGUCCAGCACUAUUCAUCUUUCUUGAAUUAAUCCGGACGAGGAAAUUGCUAGCUAGUGGUAGCAAAAGGGAAUAGAGGACACAAUGCUUCUCGAACCUAUUGGAAUAAACCUCGGCACAAUAUUUGCAUAAGUGUGUAGUUGCAUAUUUAAACUUGAUGAGUAUAUUUACACACUUACUGUAUCAAAGCUCCCAUAAGAAAAGCCUGCCGAAGCUCCCCAUGGACCUGCAUGGUGCUGCUUGCCGUUGUUGUCACUGUACGAAAAGGCAAGUGAAAAUACAACGUCUCCACUACGGAUUGUGAUGCUGUUCAAACAUAGAGGUGCCACCUCGAUGUCCUUAUAGUUGUGAUUAUUAGCUCCCCACGGCCCAAUCUUCGUAAUACAUGUCUAAGGGAAAAUCAAUGAAGCAUAAAAUUAAACAUGACUAAUUAUGAAUCUCUCCUACUUAAAAAUACGUAAGGUUCUGUCGCCCACCUCGCCCUUCGUCCAACAUCCCCCCUUCCCUCUCGUCUUCUAUUUAUUUACCAAAUAAAAUAAUGUUUUUUGGCAAGACAAUAAGUGAUUACCAAAUAAAAAAAUCCUAAAAUUUACUUAGAUAGGUAAAUCAUGGGAUGAUUUGAUAAACAAUUAUUUAGACAAUCACACUAAUAUGGAAGGUAAUAAUUGGCUAACAUACUAUAGAAUAUUUACACCCGUUGCAAUGUGCGGGCAAUUAUCUAGUACUAAGUAUAUUCCACUAUUAAAUUUGUUUGGUUUGAUAUCUGAUUGAAAAUCAUGUUCAACAAAUAUGUAAAUAUCAGUUCAUUAAAUCUUAGUGAAAAUGGACCACGAGGGCUAAAAAACAAUUUGGAUGAGAGACCAGUGGUUGAUUUGCAUCCCCAAUAUGAGGUAUCUCACCAUAUAUGGCUCCUUUAUAUCACCUUCUAACUUUGUGUUGGCACAUGGAGGUCCAUCAUUGUCCUACAAAGUUCAUUCACCAGUGUCAAUGUAUCACAUUUAAGGGUUUGGUUGUCAUCCAAAAACUUAGGGUGGUUAGGAGUAAGGGGGCGGAUCGUAAUUUUCUAAUACCAUAGUUACCGGAAAAUACCGUCCAUUUAGAAGAUGAAAUUUCCAAAGACUUUUUAUUUGAAUCGCCUUUGGCUAAGAAGAAUGUUUAGAACCAUACAUGUGGUACCUCAUCGAAUGGUUCGAGCGGUCACUGCUUUGAUGUGGAGUCUAGGGUUCAAAUCUUCAUAUAUGACCAUUUUUUGUUUAACCACCUUACCAUUUAGGCAGCCAGACUACACAACCUCAAGAAUACCGGGUUGGCUGUACCGAUGCACUACCAUACAUGUUGUCUAAUAGGCCAUGACCCUUUAACUAUAAUACAGUUUGAACCAAUNNNNNNNNNNNNNNNNNNNNNNNNNNNNNNNNNNNNNNNNNNNNNNNNNNNNNNNNNNNNNNNNNNNNNNNNNNNNNNNNNNNNNNNNNNNNNNNNNNNNNNNNNNNNNNNNNNNNNNNNNNNNNNNNNNNNNNNNNNNNNNNNNNNNNNNNNNNNNNNNNNNNNNNNNNNNNNNNNNNNNNNNNNNNNNNNNNNNNNNNNNNNNNNNNNNNNNNNNNNNNNNNNNNNNNNNNNNNNNNNNNNNNNNNNNNNNNNNNNNNNNNNNNNNNNNNNNNNNNNNNNNNNNNNNNNNNNNNNNNNNNNNNNNNNNNNNNNNNNNNNNNNNNNNNNNNNNNNGGGGGUAUGGUCAAGACUCAAUAUAUUCGAAAAAAGUUAAAAACCAAACCGUGCAAUACUACAAGAGUGGAUCAUGAUAUGAAGGCCCAUAAGCUGAAGUACACAUUGGUGUUGAUCACUGUUGUAGCCCAAUAGGACGACACAAAAUCCACAUCGGUCAAGACCAUGGAUGUAACAAUUAAUGUUCGGGAAUCUUAUCUAACUGACGUUCGUUGGGACAUGGUGACAUUUCAAACAUUUUUUCUGGUAAUUUUAGUUGUGUCGGGGGUGGCAUUUUUUCAGAGCGACAUGACAUUUUCUUGGGAGGAUGGCAGUUUUCAACCUUCAUUCCGGAAAAUGUCAUGUUGUUCUAGAGAAACUGUCACCCCACACAUAACUAAAAAUGCCAUCAAAACAUUCACAAAUGCACUCCUCCUGGCGAAUGUUCGCCAGCUAAGGGGGUCCUUAAUGUUUAUAUAGGUAUUUUGAUGCAUUUUUUUAUGCUUAACAAUAUAUUUAAUAGACUAGCAAAAAGGCCCGUGCGUUGCAACAGGAUAUGCAUGUCUCCUUUUUACCUUUUUCAUGCAUGUCCUUUUUUUUUCUUAUAUAUAGGAGAAUAGCGCAACAUCUCAUCUUUAUCAGAUCUUCUCUGCAUUGUCUCUUUUAUUUUUUUAUAGUGGGCAUCACAUUUUUAUUGGGUCCUUCUUUUAUUUCUUGUCAUGCAUAUCCUUAUUUAUUGGGUGUCUCUAGCAAAUUUAUCUUCUAUUUCAUGUCCAAUCCUGAUUUUGCUGAGGUGUUCAUCCCGAAUCUAAAUCAGUACUGGUAUGAAAAAAGAUGAAUAAUGCAUUGUUUAUUAACAUUGCAGCCUAGUUAGUUUUUUUUAAUUUUUAACAGGUAAAAUAACAUCAUAUUUAGAUUCUACAUAUUUUUCUAAUCAAAUUCCAUAUAUAACAUGUUAGAUUUAAAGUUACGGUUUACAAGAUAUGAGUAUUAAAAAAACAGUUGAUAUGUACUGCAGGUUUAAUGUCAAAAAUAUCAGGGGGUUUUCUAUAAAAUAGCAUGACGGACUAAGAAUACCUAUUUCUUUUAUUAGAAAAAAUAAUCAGGGGGGUUUCUACAAAACAGCAUGACGGACUAGGAAUACCUAUUUCUUUUAUUAGUAGAUAUAGAUUAUAAAUUUAUUUCGCCAGGAUCUUCAUACUAACUAAUGCUCAAUCACAAUGGCUUGACGGUGUCAUAAAUCAGCUGAUAUGGUGGAGCUAGCAUAAACUGCUACGUUGAUUCAUGAUGUAUAACCCAGGUGGAUUACACGACCUGCCGAGAAGGUGUGGCCACCAGCCAGCAAAACAACGCACGGGAUGCAGUACAACACCUUGUUCUUUGGGGUUUUUUUUUUCGGGGAUUGUUCUUUGGUCUUUACCAGUGUUGUGUUUUAAUCUCUUUUUUCCCAUGGAACUGAUUUUGCACUUUAUUUGCUAAAGGAAUAAGGGUAUAUUGCUAGACAAGUUUGGAGUUUGUUUCAGUACUCCUGGGCUCUUGGCUUAUAGAGUGAUAGAUCUCAAACUGCUAGCCGGGUCCAUGUCCCGAAGUUUUGUUUACAAUUAUGGACUGGUUCAGGCCUAUUUAAAGAUAAAUUGUUUAAUUUAUGAGAUUGCGAAUAUAAAGUUAUGAUCAAAUGGUUUUAGGCAGUGGUGACAGUAUAUUUACAGAAAUGUAUACCAUUCUAUUGUCAAAAUAGACGAGUGUGGCACUGGUGAUGCACGCUGUUAUAGUCUAAUUUGUAAUAUGAUUAGGAGAGGUGUUAGUACGGAGAGUGACACUCCAACCUAUUUGCUUCCACUGCAUACUACUCCCUCUGUUCCAUACAUUUUGUCAGAGUUGAUUGUUCCAUAAAUCUUGUCGUAGUUGGUUUCCGACCAACCAUAAUAAGAAUUAUGGAACAGAGGAAGUAAUAAUUUUUGUAACCAAAGCCUAGCGACAGACAUCCAAAAGAAGCUUAAGUGCACAUGGACCAACGAAGGCUCAAAUAAAAAAAAGUUUCUACAAAAGAAAUCAAACAUAAAGAAAUGAACUAAAAGCAUCAUAGCUGCGGCCAGUAAUAUGAAUAGGAGGAGUACCUUGAUUUCCAUUGAUUCGAGAUAGAAACCAAUUGCGUUAAUAUGCUUCUCAGCCUGGGCAAAAAAGCCAACGAUGCUAUCAUUAUCCUGCACCGGAAUGCGGAAAGGAAUCCCCCUCCCUUCUCCAAAAGGUCCAUGGCUCGAAGUAUUGGUGGCGAGCAAAAGUGACGAUACAAAAUCUGGAACAGAGGAAUUCGGACCAAUUGUUCCAGAAACUUCCUUCACUACCUCUGAACGGCCAAGCAGAAUCUACAGAAGACGAAAAAAACAGUUGUAAACAAAGCAAAUGUAAGGUGUGAAUGCAUACAAUAUACUCCCUCCGUUUUUAUUUAGUUCACGUAUUAGCUUUGGUCAAAGUCAAGCUUUGUAAAUUUUGACCAAUUUUAUAAACAAAAAUAUUAACAUAUACGAUAACAAAUCAACAUCAUUAGAUUUAUUAUUGAAUGCACUUUCACAUAGUAUAAAUUUGUUAUGGUAAAUAUUUAUAUUAUUUUCUAUAAACUUGGUCAAACUUUACGAAGUUUGACUUCGGUCAACUUUAAUAUGCGAAGUAAAUAAAAACGGAGGGAGUACAUUUUGUAUACUCGUGUGAGUAUGUACUACCACCAUGAGCGCCCACAUCUGGAGUUCAUGCUCCAGUGAGCUUGGAUUUUUUUGAAAGUUAUAUUUUAAAACUCUAAAAAAUAUGGAAAUAAUUACAUGUACAUAUUGACGUAUUCUACAUAUUUCUAUUAUUUCAGUAAUAAAUAGUACUUUAAUCGUGUGAGAUACAUCAGAACAAUAUUUUUUUGUGGAUUUUUUAGAUAUGCCACAUAUGCUAUGUGGUGAAUAUUUUGCUGGAUUUGUAAUAGUGCAUCUAAUAUUUGCUAUUUCAGGUCGAUAUAUUAUCUUUUCUAUGUACCCAUGUACAAAAAUCAUCAAAAAUUAUAGGUAUAUUCACACGUUUGAAAUUUUAAAAAGGUAUAAUGCAUACACACAUGGGGUAUAUAAAGCUUGGGAAUGCAUACUUAUGAAUAUAGAUGAUGUUAUACAUUGAUUAACAUAAGCUAUAGACAAAUAAAUUUUCGCUUCCUUAUGGCGACAAAGUAAUGUUAGGACCACUGACACUGACCAUAUGAUUGUUCAUACUCUGAGAUGCAUCCGAUCCUCCCCACGGACCAGCAGUGUGCUGAUGUCCAUCGCAGUCGCUGUACGUAAACUUGAGUGAAUCAAUUACCUCGCCACUACGAACUACCACGCUUAUCAAACGUCGUGGUACCACGUCCAAGUCAUGCGCCUGCCCUGAAUUACCUCCCCAUAGACCAACCUUGGUAAUCAAAUCCUGAUUGCGAACCAAUGGAUGAGAAAACCGAGAAAAUAUUAUUAUUUUUUGGAAUAAGGGUAUACACCCAGCCUAUGUAUUUUUUUAAAGUGGUUAAAUCAAAUAGGACUCAUUGCAAGUAAAUUGGUACCUGUUUCUCCAUUGGUCCUCUCGCAAGGUUCACAUAGAGGCCGAUUGCAUCAACAACAUGUCCAGAACGGCCAAAGAAGCCAACAAUACUAGCGUUGCCCAUGAGCGGACUACAAAAAUGAGUUCCUCCUACUCCUCCAAAAGGUCCAUAAUUACGGACAUUGGUGAUAAGCGUAAGUGAAUUUAUAAUUUUGCUUGCAUAUUGGUUAGAAGAAUUAAUUGUUCCGGAAAUCCCCGUCAGAAACUCUGCUUCUCCAAGAUCAAUCUAAAAGAAAAAAAUGUAUGCCCUUAAUUUUGUAUUGAAAGCAUAUAUAGUUUGAAAUUUGGUGGUGUAUCCUCUUCUUUCUCAAUGAAUAACAUGCAGCUCUCUUGCAUGGUUAAAAUAUAUAGCUUGAAAGAGAUAUUGAUACUCACCGUACUAAGGAUGCCAUCAGUUAAGUAAUCGCAAACUCCCCAUGGGCCUGCAUGGUGUUCCAAUCCGUGUUCGUCAUUGUACGAAAAUUCAAGCGAAUAUAUGUACCGUCCACCUCGAAUUGUUAUGCUGUUAAGACAUAUGGGCUCCACCUCGAUAUCCCUGUUACUGCCUGCAUGGUGUUUCAAAAAACUGUGAAGCAUAGUUGGUUUUUAUUAAUUGGAAAAAACAUGAUAGAUAAAUAUGCUUAGUUCAGCGAGUGAAUAUAUCACCAGUGAAAUGGUUGUGUGCAGAACUUAUAUUUUCUCCAUUGCCCCCUUGAAAUAUGUGUAUUUAUGAAACAUUUGAUGGACAUUAAUCGUGGUAUAGUAUGUACAUUUAAAAAAAUGCAAACAUAUAGUCGCAAAGACUUUGUACAAAAAAAGUAUAUGGUCAUAUUUUGCACCAGAAUUACAUUUGAAUAGUAUAACAUACAGGACUCGGGUUGUACAAAUUUGUAUUUUUGUCGAAGCAAGCAUAUAGUCAUAUUUUGCACAAAAAUUGGCACGCUUUUCGAGUGUGCUUGGUUGCAUGCCAAAUAUUGGCUUUUCAAUGUUCUGGCAUACCAACAUUUGGCAACUCAUUGUGGCAAUUUUGAGAGGUUCGAAAGAUAAGUUGGCUGCUGACCAAUCGGUGGCCAAUUGUUUUGGAUUGCCUGCAUAUAUUUUUUUACACCAGACUAAGCAGCCUCUUAAUAUUAAAAUGAUAUUUCAUUGUGUCCAAAAUAGUUUAUAAGUUUUUGAGUAUCUGUUCUCCCGGAUAAUAAAACAACCCAAGGCCGGUCCAUGAACAUCUAACUACAUUAAAAGGAGGAAUGCCCCACCAGUUUUAAAAAUAUGAUUCCACAAAAAAUCUAGAUGGAGUUAUGAAGGUCUAAUGGUUGUGCUAAAUUGAUCUGCUAGGCGAAAUGACCGGAUGUUCUGCUUUUGUGAGAAUUUCUAGCGUCGUCUCAAUGUUUCUUCUCCAUUAUGUUGUUACUACAUUCUUUUGCCUUUGCAGCUAAUAGUUAACCAACAUGGGUGUGCAGAGAAAAUAAAAGUCACAUUGCCUGGUGGUGGUGGCAGAGAAGCGAAAGCAAGGAAAAUUAAGGUUUGGGUUACGGUUUACAUGCCCCUGGCAUGGGAGCGAUGGGAGGCUUCUGAAGAUCAAGCAUUUUCCUGGAUGAUCAAAACGUGUAACUAGUGUGCAUACAAGUUUUAGUGAUUCACCCGCAAAAGAAAUACAAGUUUUAGUGAUAAACUAGUUUUGAAAAGUUAAGUAACAAAAACAAAUACAUCAUACUAAUUCGCUAAACAAUUGUAAUGGUAGAGGAUGUUUGGCCCUGAUAUUACUAAUGACUUUAAUUAAUUCUUACCAAGUUUAUGCCCCUGGUAUCACCUUCGAUCUUUUGGUCAAUGAUAUCACCUUCAAUCUUUUGGUCAACAAGUGCAGCCUCAACCAUCGUUCUACAAAAGCAAACCAUGAACAACGAUAUCAUAAUGAAUUUAUGCACACACACACAAAAAAAAAGUGACUGUAGACGGAUUUUUGUGGGGUGUAAGCUAAAGUAAAGCUAAAAAUAUACACAUCCCUCAAGGAGGGCUCGUUGCAGAGGUGACGAGGUGGGCGUCCAAGUAACUCUUGCCGUCAUUGUCAUCUACCCAUCUCGCCGCUGCCAGGAAGCAUCGCCGGGCAAAGCCCGUGCGGCGCCGCGGUAGCGUGGAGGUAAGAUUUGGGGGGCGGGGGCUCAUGUGGAAGUGUUCGAGGGUUUUGUGGGACGGGGAAGGAGAGUGUUCUCGAGCAACAGUCUUCAUUGAGUGGUGAGCGAUGGCGGCAUUGAUGAAACCGUGACGAUUGAAGGGAUCCAGCAUGGUAUUCUGCAUAGCUGGUCCGUCCUGGCUGGAUCAUCGGAGAAGAGGGUGUCAGUGCAUGGUUCUGGAUGGCGGCAAGCACGACAUCAGACCCGGACAUGUCAUAAAAUGGGUAAAAGAUCAGAUUUUCUUUAAAUAGUCUUUGUGUUUGGUUUGGAGUGGCGAAGCGGCGAUGUUUACCCAUGGUAGGAAUUAUGUUCUCCCAGCCCUAUCCUUGUUUCUUUUCAUCAGCAAAUGUUGUGUGGAGCUGUGUCUCCAGCAGAUCUUCCGGGAUCCAAUCCGUUUAGGUUUUUGGUGAAUCCAUAUGGAUUCGGUCGGCUUUCAUGGUCUUCAGAGUUUCUACAUGUCCUUAUUGCAUAUUUUCUCUAGGACAGUGAUUUUCUUCAUAGAUCACGGCCACUAGUGUCACCUGGUAUGCAUUGACGACUUCGCGGAUGGUACUUCUACAAGCUUCUGGGUUUCAAAAAGUUUGCCCCAUCGAAGCGGAGGCCUAGGGGUGGCAUCGAGCUAUGCCUUUGCCUUCCCUGCAUGCUUUAGUAAGUGCGGGAGACGGACAUAAUGAGUUAUGCAUGCCUCAAAGCAACCCUUGGCCUUCCUGAGAAGGAAUCCCUAAAUCGGUCAUUUUCUGGAGCCAGGCUAAGGCGAGUUAUGCAUGCCUCUUCCCCGCAUGCUUUAGUAAGUGCGGGAGACGGACAUGACGUCUCGAAUCCAUCGUAACUCACACCCCUCUCUCCCUUCAUCGACCAAACCCCAUUCACACCUUCUCUCUCACACACACUGUCGCUUCGGUCUCACUGAUGGCCGCCCCACCACCACGCCGUCUCAAUCCUUGACCCGCCGACGCUGCCAUGAGAACUAGCUCACCGCUGACACAUGAGCGAGGGGUCCUAUGACCCAACAUAGGUAUGGAGGAUAUUGUGGGACCUUCCCCCAUCUGCAGCAAGCUGCGGUCCACGACAAUCAACAGCCCGUCGGUGUUCCUCACCACGCCUGCAGCGGUAGCUACUUUGUCUGCUGAUGUGGCAGGGAUGGGGGUUGCGGAUGCCGACACAUUGACCAUGAUAGGGGUGGGGACUUCGGUAGUGCCUGCCAGGCCAUCGGCCGCAGGAACGACGAGGAUGUUGUCGCUCUUCCCACCAGGAUUUGCUCCCGCUCCACCUCCGGCGAAUGUUGUAAGUACAUUUGAUUGUGCAUAUCUGUUUUUUAGCUGUUAGGGUUUUUUAGAGUGGUUGUUGCUUCGGUUCGAUCAGAUUAGCAUCGAUUGUGCAUUGGUAGAAAUGUUCAUGUCACGAUAAUUGCUAGGAUUUCCUAGAGUACCACCGACUGUGCAUUGGUAGCAAUGUUCAUGUCACGAUGAUUGCAGUGAAUGCCUAGAUUAACAUCAAUUAUGCAUUCGUGGCAAUGUUCAUGUCUAAACUGAUGCGCAUUGGUGCCAUUUCAUGUCUAGACCAUAGUAUGUGUGCAUGACUAGAUUGAUUCGUGUAGAUUUGCUACACUUCGCACCGACCCUGGUAGAUUGAUUGCUAUCAGUGUGCAUAUGUAGAUUGAUUGCUAGGAUUGCUAUGUACCUCCAAGUCCAUAAGUACUGUCUUCCUAAGAAAAAAAUAGAUAAAUUUUCAUCGUGUUUUAUGAUAUGGAGCCACUACCACCUCCUGUUCUUCAUCGGGAGGCCUAAUCUGGAGUCUGUUCUGGGCUCCGGAGAGGGGAAUUCGUUGCUGCCGUCAUCAACAACCUCAUGAUGCUCACUACCAGGAAUGAGUAAUUUCAUCGUAGGCAUACUGGAGGUAGAUGGAGGUAGAUGAGAUUUGUCAUGUAAUCGAGUCAAUUUAUUAGGGCUUGAUCCCUAGUAUCCACUAUGUUCUGAGAUUGAUGUUGCUAUGACUUUGCUAUGCUUAAUGCUUGUCACUAGGGCCUGAGUGCCAUGAUUUCAUAUUUUAACCUAUUACAUUUUCAUGAAUAUAUUUGAGUUAUUGAUCCUAUCUGCAAGUUAUAUGCACAUGUUAUUGUUCUGAACCGUAGACCCCAACGUGACAAUAAUUGGGAUACUCUCCGGGAUGACUGUAAUUUGAGGAGUUCAUUAUUCACUAUGUGUUAAUGCUUUGUUUCAUUUUUCUAUUAAAAGUAGUGCAUUAAUUACCCUUAGAUUUCCAUUAGGACCCCGCUGCCAUGGGAGGGUAGGACAAAAAAUGUUAUGCAAGUUCUUAUUAUAAGCAUGUAUGAUUAUAUAUGGAAUGCAUGGCUACAUAUGAUUGAUGAAUUUGAACUAUUGUGCAUCACUCUAGGUUGUGAUUGUUACAUGAUGAAUGGCAUCCAAAUAUCCACUGCUACUUCAUGCCUACGCUUUCUCAUAAUAUUGCAUUACUUGAAUCAUUACUGCUGAUGUUGAUCUAAUUGCUAUAAAACUCUACUGUUACUCUUACUGUUAUUAUUGCUAUUGUUACCACUACUAUCAAAACUAUCAUAAUAUUACUGUGCUACUAAUAUUGUGAUGCAAAGAAACAACUUAGGUGUGGUUGAGUUGACAACUCAACUGCUAAGGCUUAUAAAUAUUCUUUGGCUCCCAUUGUGUCGAGUCAAUAAAUUUGGGUGAGAUACUACCCUCGAAAACCGUUGUGAUCCCCUAUACUUGUGGAUCAUCAUGUCCCUCCAUCGGAAGACCUGGAGGAUGUUAUCCCUGAAAAUUGGUGGCUACAUAGGAUUAGCGUACUAGGGACGAGGGAGGAGAUAGAAAUGCCUCUCCCUAGCUGCAUGCCAAAGCUUGGGCACAAGCCAAUGGAACCGAUGACACGUCGUUUCUACAUGUAGAUCAAGAAUGAAGACAACACUUGCCUUCCCGGUUGUCCCGAAGGAUUUCCAACAGGUGCUGAGGAGGUGGUUCUACAUAUGCCUUCCUUGUGUUGUGCCGCUUGCCGCCAAAAAGUGGUGAAACUACCGGGUAUGGGUCCAGGAGUCUGGCGGAAAGUCCGUGUUGGGGUGAGGCUGGAGUACCUUAUGUCGCAAGCACCUCGUGCUUCCCAACAACAUAGUCGUUCUAAAACUUGGCACUUUUUGCAUCAAAGUGAACAUAUUUGAUAGGAGCACCUCCAUUAUCUUUCACUACCAUUGCUCUAAGCACGGCUAGGUUGUAAAUCGCAAGUGCAUAAAAGGACUUAGUAGUAGUAUUAAUAUUGCCUUUUAUUGUAAACUAUAUAUGCAUAUUUUGAUCUCAGAACAUCACCCUUAUGAUGUUGUGCAGGGGCAUGGGCCUUGAUGAUGUUGUGGAUGCCCUUGCUGUCCUAGAACUCCACCAUGUUAAUGUUAGUACUAUUAAAUGUAUGUGUUAAUUGUGUGCAUGUUUGGUGUUAAUGUGUUGUGUGUAAUAUGUUGUGAUGUAUUUCAUAAGUGUGGUGCAUAGUGGUAAAGUCACCACUUAUUAAAGGGGUGAGCAGAAUACUCCAUCGCACACAGGCAAACAGACAUGCUUUGCAUCUGAUCACCCUAAAACCACAAAUGCAGGCAUCCAAACAACAUGCACAAAAACAACCAUAGUGAUGCAGACUACCAAACGAGGCAUACAACAUGACCCAAAGCUUGUUUCUUCCGAGCUGGGCUGAGUCGGGCCAUAGACCAGGAGGUCUGAAAUCAAUGUAGACAACCAAACAAGCCCUUACCCAUUAUAUAAACUAGCCCCCCCCCCCACAAACACACACUCUUACCACAAAGAUGUUGUGAUGUGUGGAAAGAACCUGCAAUGCUAAACUUGAGUGCAUGCAUGAUUAUUUGGACCAUACGGUCGUAGGUGCAUAACUACUAUCAGUGGAUAUACAUCCGUUCAACUAGCACAAGUGGAAAUUAAGUGAAUGGACACUUACUAUUGUUGAACUAGAUCUGAUAUGCACAAGUAGUAGUUCGCCCUCUUUAUAGUCAGUGACUUUAAUCUCAUUAGAGUUAUUUCUGACAAGAACAAUGAUAACAUACACCAAGGUUGGGCUGACAAAUUCAACAAUCAGGUUGGUAAACAUGCAUGAUGAAAAUCAAGACGUCUAAUAGGAUACACCUAGGCCAACAAUCGGGAUUCACUCUCAUGGCUGCCAUUGUGUAUUUGUUUCUCCCUGUUGCGGUGCUCACUUUCGUAUUGCUUCUGCUCAAACCUUAGCUAGAGUGAGAAGUGAUCAUAUACUUCUCCUUUUGGAGUUUGGAACACCCAUAUCCCACCACAAAAAAUUCUCUUUGAAAAGUAGUGGCUCGAAGAUGGAGGAUGUGCCCGAGCGGUCUAGGAAUCAUGGAUUGUUGUGUGUAUUACCACAUAUUAAACAAGUAUCUGAUAGACAAGGUUAGAUGGCUUAGGGAAGGAUUGAUAGGCUCGAGUAUUAACUUGAAGCUUCUCAUAGAAACAUAAACCGCUUGUAGCUAACAAUGAUUGUCUUGAUAUUACGUCUGAAACCAAGAAAUUUUUCCUUGGGGGAAAGGAGAGAUUGAAACAAUAUCUAAAGAAUUGAUACAUCUCAAUGUAUCUAUAAUUUUUGUAUUAUCCACGCCAUAUUUUCAUCAUUUAUACAAUUUUUUGAAGUUUAUUUAGAACUAACCUAUUAAUUCAGUGUCCAGUAUCAGUUUAUGUCUUUUUAGUGUUUAUCUCCUCAAGAAAAACAUGUAUUUGGGAUUUAUGGAAAAUCCAGAGAAAUAUGAGGAUGAUUUUUUUAGGGAAACCUGAUAAGCUUUAUUGACCGAGUGGCAAAAUUACAGGUAUCAUAUUGGUGUCAUGAGGAUGAUAUAUGCAUCAAGGAGACGACACAUGACCAACACUUGGGCUAAGAGGGCCCACAAGGGCCCUAGACACCCACUAUACGGGCCCAAUGUCUCAGGGCACCCUGGUAGUGCGUCUGUGCGUUCCAUGAGGCUUCUGGACCUCUUCUGUUGUCAAAAUCGUGUCCCCGGAGUUUAUGAACAACCCUAAAAAAAUCACAUUUUUUGGAGAUACGGAUCACUGGGAAUUAAUAAACCGUGACAUGACUCAGGUUCCGGUGUCCACAAAUAGCUCCCCUGAAAGUCUAAUCCAAUCAUGGGGGAUGCUCUCGUCCUCCACAACCUGGCCACCAAUAGUCUGUAGGAAAACCCUUUUCCCACCUAGGUGGGAGUAAGAAUGAUAUGGAGGAGGCUCUCUCUGCUCCUCUAUGCCAACGAUGCUGGAACAUCGCUGGGAGAGCCAUCAUUACCGCCAUCACCUCCAACAACUUCACGACCUCCACCACCAUCUUAUUCAUGUGAGUAGAGGCUUCUCCAUCCAUAAAUAUGGUAAUUCAUUGGAAAAUAUUGAUUUCUUGUGCUAUGAAUUAUUUCCCCAUUAUUUAACUUUUUUGUUGAUGUUUGAGUAGUAAUUUGUUCUAUGACAUUGGUGAAGCAGUAUUAAGAUUGAUUGAAGUUUUAUAUGUUGGUUUCCAUGAGAAUUUUUGUGUCUUAUUUAUGGUAGCACACGCACUUAGGGGUCACUUAAGGUGCAAUGAUGUGUUAUCAUAAAUAUAUGAAAGGAGGCAGCAGUGACAAUACCAUUUUGGAGGUCUAUCUAUAUCUAAUAUUAAAGGCGGUGUGUUUCUCCAAUUUUUUGGAACAAGAACUUGAACCAUGGUUGCAUUGAAAGAGCCCGCAUGCAUGAACCAAGUCAACUAGCCAACAUUGCUAGAGAAAUAAAGGAAGGUGCCCUUUUAUAGGUUAAGCGAGUUUUGUCAAAAAAUAUAGAAGCCACAGAUCGAUGAUGUAAGUCCAUCGCUGACGAUGGCGCUCCCAUCCGUGUUGCACACGCACUCCUCAGUGUUUGCCUACGCUGCGCAACAACACCGCUAGGCCUUUUUGGGUCUUAUCAAACUGGGCCAUGCUGGGCCAAACGUACUCCUCGGCCUUUGCCUACACUACACAGCAACUCUGUUGUGCCUUUUGGGCAUCAUCAAACUGGGCCAUGCUUGACCAAAACAAAAAAAUGCUACUGUGGAGGAUCGAACUCUUACGGCCUCCCUCCAAUUCACGAGGGUUCAACCAGUUUAACAUCACUCUUUUGAUUGUGAUAGAAGAAAUGAAUCACUUAUUAAUCAAUAGUCCAACCUCGCUCUUUUACAUCGGAUCUCACCAAUUUAUAUACGUCUGCUGGUAGAUAAUCAACGAGUCCCUAUGAAGGAAAGAAUAGAAUUAUGAUAAACAUAGUGAGGUGUGAAACAUAUAUGGUUGAUUGGCUCUAAUUUAAUGGGGCCGUGGGGAGAAAUAUUGGUGGGGUGGUAUAAGUUGCGGCCAAAAUAUUUAAAGAAGAGAACAUGCAUGGCUGAUUGGCGCUAACUUAAGCAGGAUUGUGGGUAAAAAAUAUUCCAGGAAUAGGCUGGGCAAAGUUGACCUUUACAGAAGAGAACGUGAGCAGUGACGACGUGUGGGGUAUUCAAUCAAAUAAUGCUUCGAUUCGUGCGGUAACGUCUGCCCAUUUAUUAUUGGGUCGUCGUCCCAUGGAGNNNNNNNNNNNNNNNNNNNNNNNNNNNNNNNNNNNNNNNNNNNNNNNNNNNNNNNNNNNNNNNNNNNNNNNNNNNNNNNNNNNNNNNNNNNNNNNNNNNNNNNNNNNNNNNNNNNNNNNNNNNNNNNNNNNNNNNNNNNNNNNNNNNNNNNNNNNNNNNNNNNNNNNNNNNNNNNNNNNNNNNNNNNNNNNNNNNNNNNNNNNNNNNNNNNNNNNNNNNNNNNNNNUGGCCUUACAUCUUCAAUAACAAUCAUGUCGAGCAGUCGGCACCCUUCACUAACAUGCUCCAAUCCUAGGUGUCGCCUCGCAAAUGCCCGCCUUGCUCGACCAGUCGUAGCCCGUCACCAACGCACGAGGAGGACUCGAUCGGCAUCAAAAUCAAAAUUUGGAAGUCCCUAUUGUGUCCGGCAUAAAUUAUUUUCCAAAUUUUUACGAACUUGUGUUUUUUUCUAUUGCAAUGCAUGGGCUCUUUUGCUAGUGAAUUAUAACAUAUAUACGGGGGUUAGGGGACCCUAAAGGAUAAAUCUAUAGUUGACUUUUAACUUAAUUAUUCUUAGUAGUUGUGUAUGCUUAAUUUAUAUGGAUUCUAUUAUAAGUGCAUGGUUUUGUAGCAUGUCUCCUAAAACUCCACUUAUUAAGGAAGCACAAAGUUCAUCUUACAAUGUAUUACCAUGUCUGUCCACGUGGUGAUAUACCCUUUAAGUGACAAUUGAGGGAAUCACCUACUUAGAUCAUUGAUACACAUCUUUUAUGUUGCCAUUGAACUUGUUCCCAAGAUAAGAAAAACAACCAGUUGUUACAAAUAGUCAAUUUCUCGGAAAUCUCGCGCCCAUUGGAUACUACAUCCAUCACAACCGCCACACACUCAAGCUCUCUUUUAUUUACUGCAAUGUUUUACUAUCAGCGCCUAACUUUUAUUUGUUAUCUUGCUAUAUACUUUAGUUACCUCAUUGCAACUUAUCUUGGUAAGUACCUUAGUUUCUACACUUGCAACCUAUCUUAGUUAUAAAGAGUCUAGGUUAAGUAAACACUAAAAGCUAGUUGUGUAAGUGACAUACAUAACUUGAGAGAAUAGGAAAAUUUUAGUCCUAUGGGGUAUCGACACUCAUAUGUAUAUUUCAACCUCCACUUUGAAAAGUGCUAAAAGAACUCUUUGCACUUCAGGAUUAUCAGGAACUAAACAUCAUUUGGAGGAAUGAAGUGAUUAAGCCAACGCGAGGGCUAGGGAGAGAGAUAUGUAGUGAGCAAUAGAAAUACUACAUACUUUGAUGAAGUGACUAACCAGAGAAGAAGGAACAAAAAGAUUGCCAUUUUAGGAAGUGAUCAUGUUGUUUUCACUAAGACAACUCAUAUGAUGUAGUUAGUUGUAGAGUGUUACAAAAGGUUUUUGCUAGGAGAACUGAAUUGAUAUCUCUUUAAUGGAUUUCUUCUGGAAUGUUGACAAUUUGGCUAAACCUGAAGAAAAUUUUGUUUUAUACUCUCCUUUAAUGAAGAAGGUAUUAGAGAUAAUAUUCUAUGUUGAAGGAGCACCUGGCCAUGAUGGUAUCCCAUUCCUCUUCUACCAAAAGAUUCUAGGCCACCAUUAAAGGAGACUUGAACAACCUAUUGAGAGACUUAGAAAAAAAUUAUGCUUCCUUUUCAUACUAAAUUUUAAGCCUUGUAUCUCUAAUACCUAAAGAAGCUAAUGCCAAGAAUUUGAAGAGAUUCUGAACCAUUGUUGUGACUAAUUAUAGUUUCAAGAUCUUCUCUAAAACUUGUACUAACAAGCUUGGGAAAUUUGUUGAUAUGCUUCUUGCUAGAAAUCAAACUACCUUCAUUAUGGGCAGGUACAUCUUGGAGAGCAUGGUUACAAUCCAUAAAAUUAUCCAUGAUGUCCAUCAUAGAAAUUGAAGCUUGGCUAUGAAAAAGCUUAUGAUAGGACGGAUUUGAAUUUUUUAGAGGAAAUGAUACUCCAAAGAGGCUUUAGCCAAAAUGGAUGGAUAAGAUGAGAGUGAUGUUGCAUAAGAGGUUGGUGGGGAUCCAAAUCAACGAUAAUAGUAAAAAUGAAAGUGGUAAAAGGCCUGAGAGAAAGGGGGCCCACUCUCCCCUCGGCUCUUCAGUCUGGUAGCUAAUGCGUUUUCCAGAAUGCUCGUUAGAAUUGUGAGCCAACAUUAAUUUCUUGUUUUCUUCGUAACUUUAGACCUGGUGGGGUUAUCCGUGGGCAAUGUGUGGAUGAGACACUUCUUUCUCCAAAGAAUGAUACACAAACAUCUAUGAAUUUAAAAUGGAUCUUUUAUGUUUUUGAACAACUCUUUGACAUGGGAAUUAAUUUUAACAAAUGUGACCUUGCUCCAUCAAAGUUCUUGAAGAUCGAAGUAAUAUGUUAGCCCACGUGUUGGCUCUAAAAUUAGCUCCAUUCCACUGAAAUGGGUGCCCCUACAUCACAGUAAGCUCAGGAAGGAAGAAUUAAUACAACAUGUUGAUAUGCCCAUUAAGAUAGUUGUUGGCUAGAGGGUGAUGCUACUCUCCGAUGCAGCUAUAUAACGUCCAUUAGAUCCUGACGAGCCAGCAUUCCCCUUUACCUAUUAUCAUCUACUAAAUUCCCUUCCUAUUCCAUUAAAGAUAUCAAUUGUUAUAUGCCCUAUUGCCUCUGAGACAAUUGCCAAGGAUACAGAAAAUACCACUUAGCCAAUUGAGAUUUAUUGACCAUGAACACAAGUAUGUUGGUAUGGAAAUUCCUAAUAUAAGGGACUUCAACUUUAGUUUAUUGGCCUCUUGGACUAGAAGAUAGCAACUGGAUUAUCAUAAGUUGUGGAAAUUGAACAUUGACUUAAAUGCCCUAUUGACAUAUGACAUAUCUUUAACUGCCAAACCUCUUAUGUUUCCCCUUUUUGGAACAGUGUGAUGUGGGCAGCUAAUGCUGCCAAGUUUGAUUACCAAGGUUAGUGGGUAAUAGUGAGAUAUUUAGGUUUGGGGAAUAUCAACGGAUGACAUUUUACAUUAAUAUUUGGGAUGUCUAUUAAAUUUGCAAUGAAAAAUGUGCCACCAUACAAGAAGUGUGGGAUGGUCAUCAAAUGAGACUUUCCUUUGGCAAAGGCUUUAAAAACACACUAAUGGACUGAUGGCACCAGAUUGAACAAAUUUGUUCUUCUAUGAACCCAAUUGAAGAAGGGGAUAACCUAGUGUGGCGGUUACAUAAUUUUGGGUUGUAUACUUCCCUGGUCCUUAUAUGUUGCCUUGACUUUAGGGGUGUGAAACCUGGUUUACAUCUUCCUUAUGGAGUUUAUUAAUACCACCUUGAGAACAUGUAUUCUUAUGGUAGAUGUCACAUAAUAAACUGCUAACAAGAGAUAAUUUGGAGAAAAUACAUGAUAUAGCUGAUAAAACAUGUUUAUUAUAUUAUGAACCUAAGAACAUUGAACAAUUGUUCUUUUGUCGUGUGCUUAAACAUGUUUGGAGAGAGAGAUAUUUGGUAACACAUAGCACCUCGGAAAAAAUUGAAUAUGUUGCCUGCUUAUGGGUUAGUGACAAGAAAAAUGUUGUGAUUAAUAUGGUCUCUUUGUUUUGGGAUUAUGCACUUCUUUUCAUGUCAGGCUGCUGCAGUGUCUGGACUGCCAUUGUAAUGGGCUUUAAAGCUUGCUUUUUCAAUGAAAAAUGGAACCAUCGUGAGAGUAUCUCCAACGGCUCCCCUUUCCCCAUUAUUUUACUAAAUUGGGGGAUUUGACCAAAAAAAUAAGCUCCAUAGCGCCCCUAUUGGACUCCAGCCGCACACCAAACCACCAUCGUGCCAUCGCCGGUUGAUUGAUAAGUGGGUCAUGUAUGUCACAUUGGUUAUUGAGAAUCUGUGAAAGCUUUCAUACCCAAUAACCAAAAAAGUGUUAUUGGGAAACCCCAAUAAGUGAUUAUUGGGUGAGUUUUAUUGGCGACCUAUUUGAGAUGCUCUUGGCCUUUUGAUCUGAAUAAACACAUGUGAGUGGUACGGGGUGUGCUUCUUCCUUGGAGCACCUAACUGAGGGGUAACCCCCGCGGGGGGCACUCCUAGGCAAGCGUGAUACUGUCAUGUGGCAGUAUAAGAGAUGGACGUUGAACACGAUGAAGGAAAUAUGCCCUAGAGGCAAUAAUAAAGUUAUUAUUUAUUUCCUUAUAUCAUGAUAAAUGUUUAUUAUUCAUGCUAGAAUUGUAUUAACCGGAAACAUAAUACAUGUGUGAAUACAUAGACAAACAGAGUGUCACUAGUAUGCCUCUACUUGACUAGCUCGUUAAUGGAAGAUGGUUAUGUUUACUAACCAUGAACAAAAGAGUUGUUAUUUGAUUAACGGGAUCACAUCAUUAGAAGAAUGAUGUGAUUGACAUGACCCAUUCCAUUAGCUUAGCACCCGAUCGUUUAGUAUGUUGCUAUUGCUUUCUUCAUGACUUAUACAUGUUCCUAUGACUAUGAGAUUAUGCAACUCCCGUUUACCGGAGGAACACUUUGUGUGCUACCAAACGUCACAACGUAACUGGGUGAUUAUAAAGGAGAUCUACAGGUGUCUCCAAAGGUACAUGUUGGGUUGGCGUAUUUUGAGAUUAGGAUUUGUCAUUCCGAUUGUCGGAGAGGUAUCUCUGGGCCCUCUCGGUAAUGCACAUCACAUAAGCCUUGCAAGCAUUGCAACUAAUGAGUUAGUUGCGACAUGAUGUAUUACGGAAUGAGUAAAGAGACUUGCCGGUAACGAGAUUGAACUAGGUAUUGAGAUACCGACGAUCGAAUCUCGGGCAAGUAACAUACCGAUGACAAAGGGAACAGCGUAUGUUGUUAUGCGGUCUGACCAAUAAAGAUCUUCGUAGAAUAUGUGGGAGCCAAUAUGAGCAUCCAGGUUCUGCUAUUGGUUAUUGACCGGAGACGUGUCUCAGUCAUGUCUACAUUGUUCUCGAACCCGUAGGGUCCGCACGCUUAAGGUUUCGAUGACAGUUUCAUUAUGAGUUUAUAUGUUUUGAUGUACCGAAGGAGUUCGGAGUCCCAGAUGAGAUCAGGGACAUGACGAGGAGUCUCGAAAUGGUCGAGAUGUAGAGAUCGAUAUAUUGGACGACUAUAUUCGGACAUCGGAAAGGUUCCGAGUGAUUCGGGUAUUUUCGGAGGUACCGGGGAUUUACGGGAAUACGAGGAAGAAGCAAUGGGCCUUAAUGGGCCUUAGUGGAAAGGACCAGGAGGUGGCGCACGCCCCUCCCAAGCCCAGUCCGAAUUGGACAAGGGGUUUGGGGCACGGCCCCUCUCUCCCUUCCUUCCCCUCUUCCCCCCUUUCCCCCCUUCUCCUAGUUGGACUAGGAAAGGAGGAAACCUACUCCAACUAGGAGUAGGAAUCCUACUCCCUGGCGUGCCCCUCCUAGGGCCGGCCUCCUCCCCCUUGCUCCUUUAUAUACGGGGGCAGGGGGCACCCCUAGACACACAAGUUGAUCUUCGUGAUCGUUCUCUUAGCCGUGUGCGGUGCCCCCCUCCACCAUACUCCUCGAUAAUAUUGUAGCGGUGCUUAGGCGAAGCCCUGCGACGGUAGAACAUCAAGAUCGUCACCACGCCGUCGUGCUGACGAAACUCUUCCCCGACACUUUGCUGGAUCGGAGUCCGGGGAUCGUCAUCGAGCUGAACGUGUGCUAGAACUCGGAGGUGCCGUAGUUUCGGUGCUUGAUCGGUCGGGCCGUGAAGACGUACGACUACAUCAACCGCGUUGUCAUAACGCUUCCGCUGUCGGUCUACGAGGGUAGAAGACAACACUCUCCCCUCUCGUUGCUAUGCAUCACCAUGAUCUUGCGUGUGCGUAGGAAAUUUUUGAAAUUACUACGUUCCCCAACAGUGGCAUCCGAGCCUAGGUUUUAUGUGUUGAUGUUAUAUGCACGAGUAAAACACAAGUGAGUUGUGGGCGAUAUAAGUCAUACUGCUUACCAGCAUGUCAUACUUUGGUUUGGCGGUAUUGUUGGACGAAGCGGCCCGGACCGACAUUACGCGUACGCUUACGCGAGACCGGUUCUCCCGACGUGCUUUGCACAAAGGUGGCUAGCGGGUGACAGUUUCUCCAACUUUAGUUGAACCGAGUGUGGCUACGCCCGGUCCUUGUGAAGGUUAAAAUAGCACCAACUUGACAAACUAUCAUUGUGGUUUUGAUGCGUAGGUAAGAUUGGUUCUUGCUUAAGCCCGUAGUAGCCACGUAAAACUUGCAACAACAAAGUAGAGGACGUCUAACUUGUUUUUGCAGGGCAUGUUGUGAUGUGAUAUGGUUAAGACAUGAUGCUAAAUUUUACUGUAUGAGAUGAUCAUGUUUUGUAACCAAGUUAUCGGCAACUGCCAGGAGCCAUAUGGUUGUCGCUUUAUUGUAUGCAAUGCAAUUGCGCUGUAAUGCUUUACUUUAUCACUAAGCGGUAGCGAUAGUCGUGGAAGCAUAAGAUUGGCGAGACGACAACGAUGCUACGAUGGUGAUCAAGGUGUCGCGCCGGUGACGAUGGUGAUCACAACGGUGCUUCGAAGAUGGAGAUCACAAGCACAAGAUGAUGAUGGCCAUAUCAUAUCACUUAUAUUGAUUGCCUGUGAUGUUUAUCUUUUAUGCAUCUUAUCUUGCUUUGAUUGUCGGUAGCAUUUUAAGAUGAUCUCUCACUAACUAUCAAGAAGUGUUCUCCCUGAGUAUGCACCGUUGCGAAAGUUCUUCGUGUUGAGACACCACGUGAUGAUCGGGUGUGAUAGGCUCUACGUUCAAAUACAACGGGUCCAAAACAGUUGCACACGCGGAAUACUCAGGUUAUACUUGACGAGCCAAGCAUAUACAGAUAUGGCCUCGGAACACGGAGACCGAAAGGUCGAGCGUGAAUCAUAUAGUAGAUAUGAUCAACAUAGUGAUGUUCACCAAUGAAACUAAUCCAUCUCACGUGAUGAUCGGACAUGGUUUAGUUGAUUUGGAUCACGUGAUCACUUAGAGGAUUAGAGGGAUGUCUAUCUAAGUGGGAGUUCUUAAGUAAUAUGAUUAAUUGAACUUAAAUUUAUCAUGAACUUAGUCCUAGUAGUAUUUUGCAAAUUAUGUUGUAGAUCAAUAGCUCGCGUUGUUGCUUCCCUGUGUUUAUUUUGAUAUGUUCCUAGAGAAAAUUGUGUUGAAAGAUGUUAGUAGCAAUGAUGCGGAUUGGAUCCGUGAUCUAAGGUUUAUCCUCAUUGCUGCACAGAAGAAUUAUGUCCUUGAUGCACCGCUAGGUGAUAGACCUAUUGCAGGAGCAGAUGCAGACGUUAUGAACGUUUGGCUAGCUCAAUAUGAUGACUACUUGAUAGUUUAGUGCACCAUGCUUAACCGGCUUAGAAUCGAGACUUCAAAGACGUUUUGAACGUCAUGGACCAUAUGAGAUGUUCCAGGAGUUGAAGUUAAUAUUUCAAGCAAAUACCCGAGUUGAGAGAUAUGAAGUUUCCAACAAGCUCUAUAGCUAAAAAGAUGGAGGAGAAUCGCUCAACUAGUGAGCAUGUGCUCAGAUUGUCUGGAUACUACAAUCGCUUGAAUAAAAUGGGAGUUAAUCUUCUAGAUAAGAUAGUAAUUGACAGAAUUCUCUAGUCACCAUCACCAAGUUAGUAGAACUUCGUGAUGAACUAUAGUAUGCAAGGGAUGACGAAAACGACUCCCGAGCUUUUCAUGAUGAUGAAAUCGAUGAAGGUAGAAAUCAAGAAAGAGCAUCAAGUGUUGAUGGUUGACAAGAUCACUAGUUUCAAGAAAAGGGCAAAGGGAAAAAGGGGAACUUCAAGAAAAACAGCAAGCAAGUUGCUGCUCAAGUGAAGAAGCCCAAGUCUGAUCCUAAGCCUGAGACUAAGUGCUUCUACUGCAAAGGGACUGGUCACUGGAAGCGGAACUACCCCAAGUGAUUGGCGGAUAAGAAGGAUGGCAAAGUGAACAUAAGUAUAUUUGAUAUACAUGUUAUUGAUGUGUACUUUACUAGUGUUCAAAGCAACCCCUCAGUAUUAGAUACUAGUUCAGUUGCUAAGAUUAGUAACUCGAAACGGGAGUUGCAGAAUAAACAGAGACUAGUUAAGGGUGAAGUGAUGAUGUGUGUUGGAAGUGGUUCCAAGAUUGAUAUGAUCAUCAUCGCACACUCCCUAUACUUUCGGGAUUAGUGUUGAACCUAAAUAAGUGUUAUUUGGUGUUUGCGUUGAGCAUGAAUAUGAUUUGAUCAUGUUUAUUGUAAUACGGUUAUUCAUUAAAGUAAGAGAAUAAAUUGUUGUUCUGUUUACAUGAAUAAAACCUUAUAUGGUUGCACACCCAAUGAAAAUGGUUCAUUGGAUCUCGAUCAUAGUGAUACACAUAAUCAUAAUAUUGAAACCAAAAGAUGCAAAGUUAAUAAUGAUAGUGCAACUUAUUUGUGGCACUGCCGUUUAGGUCAUAUUGGUGUAAAGCGCAUGAAGAAACUCCAUGUUGAUGGGCUUUUGGAAUCACUUGAUUAUGAAUCAGUUGAUGCUUGCGAACCAUGCCUCAUGGGCAAGAUGACUAAGACUCCGUUCUUCGGAACAAUGGAGCGAGCAACAGAGUUGUUGGAAAUCAUACAUACUGAUGUAUGUGGUCCGAUGAAUAUUGAGGCUCGCGACAGGUAUCAUUAUUUUCUGAUCUUCACAGAUGAUUUGAGCAGAUAUGAGUAUAUCUACUUGAUGAAACAUAAGUCUGAAACAUUUGAAAAGUUCAAAGAAUUUCAGAGUGAAGUGAAAAAUCAUCGUAACAAGAAAAUAAAGUUUCUACGAUAUGAUCGUAGAGAAGAGUAUUUGAGUUACGAGUUUGGCCUUCAGUUAAAAACAAUGUGAAAUAGUUUCACUACUCACGCCACCUAGAACACCACAAUGUAAUGGUGUGUCCGAACGUCAUAACCGUACUUUAUUAGAUAUGGUGCGAUCUAUGAUGUCUCUGACCGAUCUACCACUAACGUUUUGGGGUUAUGCAUUAGAGACAGCUGCAUUCACGCUAAAUAGGCCACCAUCUAAAUCCGUUGAGACGACACCGUAUGAACUAUGGUUUGGCAAGAAACCUAAGCUGUCAUUUCUUAAAGUUUGAGGUUGCAAUGCUUAUGUGAAAAAGUUUCAACCUGAUAAGCUCAAACCCAAAUCGAAGAAGUGCGUCUUCAUAGGAUACCCAAAAGAAAAUGUUGGGUACACCUUCUAUCACAGAUCCGAAGGCAAGAUAUUCGUUGCUUUGAAUGGAUCCUUUCUAGAGAAGGAGUUUCUCUCGAAAGAAGUGAGUGGGAGGAAAGUAGAACUUGAUGAGGUAACUGUACUUGCUCCCUUAUUGGAAAGUAAUUCAUCACAGAAAAUGGUUUCUGUGACACCUACACCAAUUAGUGAGGAAGUUAAUGAUGAUGAUCAUGAAACUUCAGAUCAAGUUAUUACUGAACCUCAUAGAUCAACCAGAGUAAGAUCCGCACCAGAGUGGUAUGGUAAUCCUGUUCUGGAAAUCAUGCUACUAGAUCAUGAUGAACCUACGAACUAUGAAGAAGCGAUGGUGAGCCCAGAUUCCGCAAAAUGGCUUGAAGCCAUGAAAUCUGAGAUGGGAUCCAUGUAUGAAAAACAAAGUAUGAACUUUGGUUGAGUUGCCCGAUGAUCGGCAAGAAAUUGAAAAUAAAUGGAUCUUCAAGAGGAAGACGGAUGCUGAUAGUAGUAUUACUAUCUACAAAGCUAGAAUUGUCGCAAAAAGGUUUUCGACAAAGUUCAAGAUGUUGACUACGAUGAGAGUUUCUCACUCGUAUCUAUGCUUAAGUCUGUCCGAAUCAUAUUAGCAAUUGCCGCAUUUUAUGAAAUCUGGCAAAUGGAUAAACAAAGCUGCAUUCCUUAAUGGAUUUCUUAAAAAAGAGUUGUAUAUGAUGCAACCAGAAGGUUUUGUCAAUCCUGAAAGUGUUAGCAAAAUAUGCAAGCUCCAGCGAUCCAUCUGUGGACUGGUGCAAGCAUCUCGGAGUUGGAAUAUACGCUUUGAUAAGUUGAUCAAAGUAUAUAAUUUUAUACAGACUUGUGGUGAAGCCUGUAUUUACAAGAAAGUGAGUGGGAGCACUACAACAUUUCUGAAAAGUAUAUGUGAAUGACAUAUUGUUGAUCAGAAAUAAUGUAGAAUUAUUCUACAAAGCAUAAAGGAGUGUUUGAAAGGAUUUUUUCAAAGAAAGACCUCGGUGAAGCUGCUUACAUAUUGAGCAUCAAGAUCUAUAGAGAUAGAUCAAGACGCUUAAUAAGUUUUUUUUCAAUGAGUACAUACCUUGACAAGAUUUUGAAGUAGUUCAAAAUGGAACGGUCAAAGGAAAAGUUCUUGCCUGUGUUACAAGGUGUGAAAUUGAGUAAGACUCAAAACCCGACCACAGCAGAAAAUAGAAAGAGAAUGAAAGUCAUUCCCUAUGCCUCAACCAUAGGUUCUAUAAAGUAUGCCAUGCUGCGUACCAGAUCUAUUGUAUACCCUACCACUGAUUUUGGCAAGGGAGUACAAUAGUGAUCUAGGAGUAGAUCAAUGGACAGUGGUCGAAAUUAUCCUUACUAGAAUAACGAUGUGUUUCUCAAUUAUGGAGGUGAAAAAAGGUUCGUCAUAAAAAGUUACGUUGAUGCAAGUUUUGACACAGAUCUGGAUGACUCUAAGUCUCGAUCUAGAUACAUACUGAAAGUGGGAGCAAUUAGCUAGAGUAGCUCCGUGCAGAGCAUUGUAGACACAGAAUUCGCAAAAUACUUACGGAUCUGUAUGUGACAGACCCGUUGACUAAAAUUAUCUCACAAGCAAAACAUGAUCACACCUUAGUACUCUUUGGGUGUUAAUCACAUAAACGAUGUGAACUAGAUUAAUGACUCUAGUAAACCCUUUGGGUAUAGGUCACAUGACGAUGUGAACUAUGGGUGUUAAUCACAUGGUGAUGUGAACUCUUAGUGUUGAAUCACAUGGCGAUGUGAACUAGAUUAUUGACUCUAGUGCAAGUGGGAGACUGAAGGAAAUAUGCCCUAGAGGCAAUAAUAAAGUUAUUAUUUAUUUCCUUAUAUCAUGAUAAAUGUUUAUUAUUCAUGCUAGAAUUGUAUUAACCGGAAACAUAAUACAUGUUUGAAUACAUAGACAAACAGAGUGUCACUAGUAUGCCUCUACUUGACUAGCUCGUUAAUCGAAGAUGGUUAUGUUCACUAACCAUGAACAAAAGAGUUGUUAUUUGAUUAACGGGAUCACAUCAUUAGAAGAAUGAUGUGAUUGACAUGACCCAUUCCAUUAGCUUAGCACCCGAUCGUUUAGUAUGUUGCUAUUGCUUUCUUCAUGACUUAUACAUGUUCCUAUGACUAUGAGAUUAUGCAACUCCCGUUUACCGGAGGAACACUCUGUGUGCUACCAAACGUCACAACGUAACUUGGUGAUUAUAAAGGAGCUCUACAGGUGUCUCCAAAGGUACAUGUUGGGUUGGCGUAUUUCAAGAUUAGGAUUUGUCACUCCGAUUGUCGGAGAGGUAUCUCUGGGCCCUCUCGGUAAUGCACAUCACAUAAGCCUUGCAAGCAUUGCAACUAAUGAGUUAGUUGCGAGAUGAUGUAUUACGGAACGAGUAAAGAGACUUACCAGUAACGAGAUUGAACUAGGUAUUGAGAUACCGAUGACCGAAUCUCGGGCAAGUAACAUACCGAUGACAAAGGGAACAAUGUAUGUUGUUAUGCGGUCUGACCGAUAAAGAUCUUCGUAGAAUAUGUGGGAGCCAAUAUGAGCAUCCAGGUUCCGCUAUUGGUUAUUGACCGGAGACGUGUCUCGGUCAUGUCUACAUUGUUCUCGAACCCGUAGGGUCCGCACGCUUAAGGUUUCGAUGACAGUUUCAUUAUGAGUUUAUAUGUUUUGAUGUACCGAAGGAGUUCGGAGUCCCGGAUGAGAUCAGGGACAUGACGAGGAGUCUCGAAAUGGUCGAGACGUAAAGAUCGAUAUAUUUGUUGGGAAACGUAGUAAUUUCAACAAAUUUCCUACGCAUACGCAAGAUCAUGGUGAUGCAUAGCAACAAGGGGAGAGUGUGAUCUACAUACCUUGUAGAUUGACAACGGAAGCGUUUGGUUGAUGUAGUCGUAUGUCUUCACGGCCCGACCGAUCAAGCACCGAAACUACGGCACCUCCGAGUUUUAGUACACGUUCAGCUCGAUGACGAUCCCCGGACUCCGAUCCAGCAAAGUGUCGGGGAAGAGUUCCGUCAGCACGACGGCAUGGUGACGAUCUUGAUGUACUACUGCUGCAGGGCUUCGCCUAAGCACUGCUACAAUAUUAUCGAGGACUAUGGUGGCUGGGGGGCGCCGCACACGGCUAAGAAUAAGAUCACGUGGAUCAACUUGUGUCUCUCUGGGGUGCCCCUGCCUCUGUAUAUAAAGGACCAAGAGGGGGAGGCCGGCCGGCCACAUAUGGCGCGCCAGGAGGAGUCCUACUCCCUCCGGGAGUAGGACUUCUCCCCCAAUCCUAGUUGGAAUAGGACUCGCGAGGUGGGAAAAGAGAGAGAGAGAGAGGGAAGAGGGCGCCGGCCCCCUCUCUCCUUGUCCUAUUCGGACUAGGGGGAGGGGCGCGCGGCCCAGCCCUGGCUGCCUCUCCUCUUCUUCCACUAAGGCCCAUUAAGGCCCAUGUACCUCCCGGGGGGUUCCGGUAACCUCCCGGUACUCCGGUAAAAUCCCGAUUUCACCCGGAACACUUCCGAUAUCCAAAUGUAGGCUUCCAAUAUAUCAAUCUUUAUGUCUCGACCAUUUCGAGACUCCUCGUCAUGUCCGUGAUCACAUCCGGGACUCAGAACAAACUUCGGCGCAUCAAAAUGCAUAAACUCAUAAUAUAACUGUCAUCAUAACCUUAAGCGUGCGGACCCUACGAGUUCGAGAACAAUGUAGACAUGACCGAGACAUGUCUCCGGUCAAUAACCAAUAGCGGAACCUGGAUGCUCAUAUUGGCUCCUACAUAUUCUACGAAGAUCUUUAUCAGUCAGACCGCAUAACAACAUACGUUGUUCCCUUUGUCAUCGGUAUGUUACUUGCCCGAGAUUCGAUCGUCGGUAUUCCAAAUACCUAGUUCAAUCUCGUUACCGGCAAGUCUCUUUACUCGUUCUGUAAUACAUCAUCCCGCAACUAACUCAUUAGUUGCAAUGCUUGCAAGGCUUAAGUGAUGUGCAUUACCGAGAGGGCCCAGAGAUACCUCUCCAACAAUCGGAGUGACAAAUCCUAAUCUCGAAAUACGCCAACCCAACAUGUACCUUUGGAGACACCUGUAGAGCUCCUUUAUAACCACCCAGUUACGUUGUGACGUUUGGUAGCACACAAAGUGUUCCUCUGGUAAACGGGAGUUGCAUAAUCUCAUAGUCAUAGGAACAUGUAUAAGUCAUGAAGAAGGCAAUAGCAACAUACUAAACGAUCGGGUGCUAAGCUAGUGGAAUGGGUCAUGUCAAUCAGAUCAUUCACUUAAUGAUGUGAUUCCGUUAAUCAAAUAACAACUACUUGUUCAUGGUUAGGAAACAUAACCAUCUUUGAUUAACGAGCUAGUCAAGUAGAGGCAUACUAGUGACACUUUGUUUGUCUAUGUAUUCACACAUGUAUUAUGUUUCCGGUUAAUACAAUUCUAGCAUGAAUAAUAAACAUUUAUCAUGAUAUAAGGAAAUAAAUAAUAACUUUAUUAUUGCCUCUAGGGCAUAUUUCCUUCAAUAUUGGACGACUAUAUUCGGACAUCGGAAAGGUUCCGAGUGAUUCGGGUAUUUUUGGAGGUACCGGGGAGUUACGGGAAUACGAGGAAGAAGCAAUGGGACUUAAUGGGCCUUAGUGGAAAGGACUAGGAGGUGGCGCGCGCCCCUCCCAAGCCCAGUCCGAAUUGGACAAGGGGUUUGGGGCGCGGCCCCUCUCUCCCUUCCUUCCCCUCUUCCCCCCUUUCCCCCCUUCUCCUAGUUGGACUAGGAAAGAAGGAAACCUACUCCAACUAGGAGUAGGAAUCCUACUCCCUGGCGCGCCCCUCCUAGGGCCGGCCUCCUCCCCCUUGCUCCUUUAUAUACGGGGGCAGGGGGCACCCCUAGACACACAAGUUGAUCUUCGUGAUCGUUCUCUUAGCCGUGUGCGGUGCCCCCCUCCACCAUACUCCUUGAUAAUAUUGUAGCGGUGCUUAGGCGAAGCCCUGCCACGGUAGAACAUCAAGAUCGUCACCACGCCGUCGUGCUGACGAAACUCUUCCCCGACACUUUGCUGGAUCGGAGUCCGGGGAUCAUCAUCGAGCUGAACGUGUGCUAGAACUCGGAGGUGCCGUAGUUUCGGUGCUUGAUCGGUCGGGCCGUGAAGACGUACGACUACAUCAACCGCGUUAUCAUAACGCUUCCGCUGUCGGUCUACGAGGGUACGUAGACAACACUCUCCCCUCUCGUUGCUAUGCAUCACCAUGAUCUUGCGUGUGCGUAGGAAAUUUUUGAAAUUACUACGUUCCCCAACACACAACACAUGGUUGUUUGGACGAGUUUAUGUGUGAUUUUCUUAUUUCUGGUGUUUUCCUUUGGUUUUUUCUUCUACUUUUUUCUUGACUUUUAUCUAUAGUUUUGUCUUGUUUUCUAACGUACAAUGGUUUGGGCGUACAGACUAAUCAUUGGUGUAGAUUACACAGAGCGGGGAGUACAGGUUACAUCGUGCAGGAAGCGUUGUUUACAGUGUAAAUGGAGCACAUAUUGCAUCGUGAAGUCCAAGUUGCACUGCAUAUAUGGAGAGUGUGAGUUCCAUUGUAUGGGAGUACAGGUUGCAUUAUACGGUGAGUAUAGGCUACGUUAGGGAGUACUCCCUCUGUAAAGAAAUAUAAGAGCGUUUAGAUCACUACUCUUAUACUUCUUUACGGAGGGAGUACAAGUUGCAUUAAAUGAGGAGUACAUGUUGUCGGAGUAGUACAUGUUGCACUGUACAUGGAGUACAAGUCACGCCAAGGAGUACAAGUUACACUGAACGGGGAGAGCAUGUUGUGUUGGAGUAGUACGUUUGCACUAUACAUGGAGUACAAGUCACGCUAGGGAGUGCAAGUUGCAUUGAACGAGGAGAACAUGUUGCGCAUGAGUUGUACAUGUUGCACUGUACGGGGAGUACAAGUUGUGUCAGGGAGUGCAAGUUGCAUUGAAUGAGGAGGACAUGUUGCGGCAGAGUAGUACGUGUUGCACUAUACGGGGAGGACAGCUGUAGGAGAGUACAUGUUGCGUUAUAAGAGAAGCAUUAUACAGCGAGUACAUGCUGCUUGAGGGAGUAUAAGCUGCACAGUAUGUGGAGUAUAAGUCAUGCCAGGAGUCCAAGUUGCAUUGGGGGAGGAGAACAUGUUGCUUGGCGCAAAUACAGAUUACACUGUAUGUGGAAUACAAGUUACACUACAUGGGAGUACACCUCCCGUGGGGAAUAUAGUUAAUUCACCCAGUGAUGUACGUGAUGUUUUUAAUGAGAGAGUGAAGUACAUGUAUGUUUUUUGUUUUUUGUGGCCGAAAUCACUAUUCUGACCUUGUCAGAGAACUUUAGCAGAAAAUGACCUCUCCCAAAAAAUUAGCAUGAUUUGACCCUUUUUGAAAUGACAAGACUCGUGGCAUUACAGCCCCACAUAGAAAUGUCGAACCAGGAGGUGUAGCUGAAGGAAAUAUGCCCUAGAGGCAAUAAUAAAGUUGUUAUUUUAUAUUUCCUUAUUCAUGCUAAAGGUUUAUUAUUCAUGCUAGAAUCAUAUUGAUCGGAAACUUAAAUACAUGUGUGAAUACAUAAACAAAUAUUGUGUCCCUAGUAUGCCUCUACUAGAGUAGCUCGUUGAUCAAAGAUGGUUAAGAUUUCCUAACCAUGGACAUGUGUUGUCAUUCAAUAAUGGUAUCACAUCAUUAGGAGAAUGAUGUGAUGGACAAGACCCAUCCGUUAGCUUAGCAUAAUGAUCGUUCAUUUUUAUUGCUAUUGCUUUCUUCAUAUCAAAUACAUAUUCCUUCGACUAUGAGAUUAUGCAACUCCCGGAUACCGGAGGAAUACCUUGUGUUCUAUUAAACAUCACAAUGUAACUGGGUGAUCAUAAAUAUGCUCUACAGGUAUCUCCGGAGGUGUUUGUUGAGUUGGCAUAGAUCAAGAUUAGGAUUUAUCACUCCGAGUAUCGGAGAGGUAUCUCUGGGCCCUCUUGGUCAUACACAUCAUAAGCUAGCAAGCAAAUGACUAAGGAGUUAAUCACGAGGUGAUGUAUUACAGAACAAGUAAAGAGACUUGCCAGGAACGAGAUUGAACUAGGUAUAAGAUACCGACGAUCGAAUCUCGGGCAAGUAACAUACCGAUUGACAAAGGGAAUUGCGUAUGUUGUCAUAAUGGUUCGACCAAUAAAGAUCUUCAUAGAAUAUGUAGGAGCCAAUAUGGACAUCCAGGUUCCGCUAUUGGUUAUUGACCGGAGAGGUGUCUCGGUCAUGUCUACAUAGUUCUCGAACCCGUAGGGGUCCGCACGAUUAACGUUCGUUGACGAUAUAGUGUUAUAUGAGUUAUAUGUUUUGGUGACCGAAUGUUGUUCGGAGUCCCGGAUGAGAUCACAGAAAUGAAGAGGAGUCUCAAAAUGGUCGAGAGGUAAAUAUUGAUAUAUAGGAUGAUGGUAUUUGGACACCGGAAGUGUUUCGGGAUGUACCGGGAAGGAAUCGGGUCACCAGAAGGGGUUCCAGGCACCCUUCGGCAAGUUAUGGGCCUUGUGGGCCAAAGGAGGGGACAGACCAGCCCACAAGGGGGCUGGUGUGCCCCCUCCCUUGUUUGGCCAGCCCUAGGGAAGGAAAUGGGGGAGAGCUAGCCCCUCAUGCCUUUCCCUCUCAUUGGAGAAAGGAAAGGGGGGCGCCACCCUCCUCUGCCUUUCCCCGCACUCCAAAUAAUGAAAAGGGAGGCGCGGCUUGGGAGGGACCCCAAGUAGGAUUCCUCCUACUUGGGUGUCUCCUUUGGCUGCUCAUCCCUCCCUCCCACCUAUAUAUAUGCGGGAGGGGGCGCCUACCACACAACAGACAAUUGCCUAGCCAUGUGCGGUACCCCCCCCCCNNNNNNNNNNNNNNNNNNNNNNNNNNNNNNNNNNNNNNNNNNNNNNNNNNNNNNNNNNNNNNNNNNNNNNNNNNNNNNNNNNNNNNNNNNNNNNNNNNNNNNNNNNNNNNNNNNNNNNNNNNNNNNNNNNNNNNNNNNNNNNNNNNNNNNNNNNNNNNNNNNNNNNNNNNNNNNNNNNNNNNNNNNNNNNNNNNNNNNNNNNNNNNNNNNNNNNNNNNNNNNNNNNNNNNNNNNNNNNNNNNNNNNNNNNNNNNNGUCAUAUUUUUGUAGUGCUUAGGCGAAGCCCUACGGAGAUCACUUCACCAUCAUCGUCACGACACCAUCGUGCUGCCGGAACUCAUCUACUACCUCGCCGUUUUGCUGGAUCAAGAAGGUAGAGGACGUCACCGAGCUGAAUGUGUGCAGAACGCGGAGGUGUCGUACGUUCGAUACUUAAUCGGUUGGAGCGCGAAGAAGUUCGACUACAUCAAUUGCGUUGUUAAACGCUUCCACUUACGGUCUACGAGGGUACGUAGACAUACUCUCUCCCUCGUUGCUAUGCAUCCCCAUGGAUAGAUCAUUGCGUGUGCGUAGAAAUUUUUUUGUUUUCCAUGCAACGUUUCCCAACAGUUGCUGGCCUUGCCGAAAUGGUGUUGGCCGCCAACGUGGCAGAAAGAAACGCUAGACCAUACUGUGUUGCUAGAAAGGCUUGAUCCCCUGGUGUUUUUUAUCUGAAUAGGUAAGUGGUCCCAGGGCCGCGGGUGGGGCUCUCACCCACCACUCACCCCCACAAUCUUCCUCCUCAUUCCCCACCCAAGUUGCAACCAUCUCCCCUAUCUCUCCUCCACUCGGUCCUCCUUUAAAUCCUUCUAAAUCGGUGGCAUUUGUCCAUGGAUUGUGUGUCUUUUCCAUUCCUAGAGGUAACCUCCUUCACCUCCCAAGUUCUGAUUGGAUGGAGUGUUAUAUUUGGAUGGUUUGUUCAUGUGACUCCUAACCCUAGUUGUGAAGAUUUCUCCCAAAAAUAAUCCUUGAAUUGUUGAUACUGUGACUAGUAUGAUGUUUGUGAUGUUUAGUAAUGAGUAUGGUUGGUCCAAUAGUGGUUUAGGGUUAGUGCUAGUAAUGAGAAUGAACAAAGCUUAGGGUUUUGGGUUAGGGUUAAUGUUAGAAUUUAGGGUUAGGGUUAGUAUUAGAAAUUGUUCUAACUUGUUUUGUAUGUCAUGUGGUAGAUUUGUCAUUGAUACUUGUAAGUACUUACGAUGCCAUUGUUUUUUAGAUGGAGAGGAUCAUGAAUGUUCAUUAUGCUGACAAGACGAUAUUUGUGAAUGGUGAGAUUGUUCACAACGGUGAGGAAGUGUUGACAUUUUUUUACAAGUCCUACGUUUUUUAGGAUUACAAGUCUUGGUUAUGAGGAGGUUGUGGAAGAUAUAAUGAUUUCAUUAAAUUGGAUGGAUCUACGUGGGCCAAGCCAAAAAUGCCGGGGGUUAGCGUUUCUAUUUGGGGCAGUAAUGCCACAAGUCUUGGCGUUGCUAAAAAGGGUAAAAUCGUACUAAAAAUCAAGGGAGGUCAUUUCGUGCUAAGGUUUUCUGACAAGGUUNNNNNNNNNNNNNNNNNNNNNNNNNNNNNNNNNNNNNNNNNNNNNNNNNNNNNNNNNNNNNNNNNNNNNNNNNNNNNNNNNNNNNNNNNNNNNNNNNNNNNNNNNNNNNNNNNNNNNNNNNNNNNNNNNNNNNNNNNNNNNNNNNNNNNNNNNNNNNNNNNNNNNNNNNNNNNNNNNNNNNNNNNNNNNNNNNNNNNNNNNNNNNNNNNNNNNNNNNNNNNNNNNNNNNNNNNNNNNNNNNNNNNNNNNNNNNNNNNNNNNNNNNNNNNNNNNNNNNNGGUGGGGGGUACAAGUAUGUUACAACAGUGGGUACAAGUCCUAGUUAGUUCGUAUGUGGAAUACAAGUUGCGCUAGAAAAGAAGUUCUCGAAACUUAUUAAUAUGGAAUCUAAUUUUAAGGAUUUUGACGCGAUGAAAACAGUUUGUAAUUUGGACGAUCAGUUUAGGUGAUAAAUCAUUUUAAAAAGUAUUAAAAAAAACUCAUGAAAAAGAGGGUCUUUUAACAUGGUCGCUCUUACAUCUUCUUUUCACAUAAGAGGUAAGAAUAUAUAAUAGGUCUGAACUGUUGAUUUCAUUAAAUAGUGGGUUUGAUUAAUCUUACCUUCUUACCUUCCAUGUGAAAAGAGGGGGUAAGAGGGAGAGUAAUUCAUGCUUUCCGUAAAGUCCGUUGGAAUAUGUCCGUUCGGUAAGGGUGACCAUGUUAAAAUUGCUCCGUAAAAGAAGAAAUACGUACGAGCCUUUUCUUCCCUUAACAACAGAUUUCUGGAUCCUCGGAACAUCUGGGCGUCUUCCUAGUUAAUCUAGUGCACACUGGAUCUAUCCUGCUACGUACCCGGCUUCAUAUGGACGAGCAAUCAACAAACGAGCGAACGGCGGCACGUAGUGUGGUGCGGGGGCUACUCGGUCGGCGGAGCAGCUCCGAAAGACCGAAACCCAACCGGCAGCGCGCGACCCUCGUCGCAAGCUUAGAUGGAUUUCAACACGGAGGGUCACAAAAUAAUCAUGAGUGCCCCUAUGAUCAUGGCGGCAAACAAGAAGCUGUCCUCACAGCGCAGUGGAUGCACUCAAGCAGAUUCAUACACAGCGGAGCGCAAACCCAGGGAGCAGAGCAGAUCUACAAGAAGGAACUGACCUGGGGAGGGCGGAGGAGGACGGAGUCCAAUCUUGCUGAGAAACCCUCGACCUCCGCAUAGCUGAGCUGAGCACCCGACUAGAGAUGAAUCCGGAUAUGACCUAGGUUACCCACCAAGUGUCAAGUGUGGUAUAGUAGUAGUAGUAGUAGUAUGAAACACGACUCAGAAAUAUUGAUUGAUGGGCAUGUCAUACCGGUCGCCACCCCAAAAUCUUCAUCUUUACCACUUUAAAGAUUCUCCUUCCCUUCCUUUAGUGACACAUACAUACAUUUAUAUACGCCUUUUAAACGUGCGGGGUUGGUGGGAACCGGUCCUUGUGUCAGGUUUCGCCGUGUGUCAAAAGUGGCAUUAUGUGAUUGUGAAUCAAAACUGGAACAGAAUGGCCAAAGCUUUGUCAUAUUAUACUAAUACUAAUAAUAAAGCAGACGGAAAUAAUUACAAAUGAUGAGUUCCACUAGUAGCUACUAGCAGUAGGUAGUACGAGUCCCCAUCAGUUCUUCAGAAUUUCAUACAGCUAGUUUCUUUCUCUCCCUUUAUUUAUAUGGCAGUGUGACGAGCCAAAUAGGCACAGCCAGCGUGGAUGGUUGCAGCUGCUCGUGCUCGGACGCUCAAGCUCUCCGCGUCAACAACUCGGACAAUCAGAUUGGUGGUGGUCUUGUACUCCAGGAACUGCCAACAGUGUCGCAAACCGCUGCUGUUGAAGAACAACUCGAUCAAAAGCUCGAUAGUUUCUGGGUUUUGGACUGAUGCUAAGGGCUCCAAGCGUGCAGGCUUUUAGAUUCAUGGUCCUGGUAACAUGUGAUCAGAGCAUUUUUCCAGGGCUGUCCUUAUCUCCUUCAGCAUCUCGUCGAUCCCGAUGUGCCUCCUGCAAGGGCAGGAAAACAACGGAAAUGACAUUUUAUAACAGAAGAAGAGAACAGUUUCUUGCGACACCGAGUGAAUUAAAGGGGAAAAUGUGUUGAAUUUGUACAACUUGAGGACAUUUGAAGCAGUGUACGAGAAAACUCAUGGUGUGAUAAUAAUGCAAGUGUCACAUGAGGAGGCUUACAAAUUAAUCAAAUAUCAAAUGAAAACAGCAGAUAUUAGUCUCCCCAUGCACUAGGGAUCGGAUCAUACAAUAUAUCAAGCACCCCAGACCCCAGAAGAGAUGAGGUGGAAAAGCAAAGCGCGGUUUUGUAUUGACCAGCAGACCAACAGAUUUACGAGCUGUUUAAGUGAACAUGGUAAAAGAAUGUGUUAAGUUGGUCUGGUGAGAAGACUUACAGUACGCUUGCGCCAAUUACAGCUUGAGGCCUUGGGUAGUCUCCAAGUUCCUUAUCAUCAUCUUCUGAGGUAUGGUGUCUGUUGAAGUUUUCAUCUAGUUUUCCUUCGCUGGCAUUUUUGUCAUGGCAUUCUCCACAGCCUACUGAAGAUAUUUCAAGUGCCAAUGAAGAUAACCUAUCUUGGGCCUACAACGGAGAAAAACAUUGUUAGGGCACCAAUCAUGCCAAGAAAGAUCUAGAAAACUAAAUGCUAAAAACCAGGGAAACCAUAGUUUGAUCCAAAUUAAGUAGGAAAUUGCACCUUAGGAAGAUCAAUCUUGUUCAGGACCACAACAUAAGGCCGCUCCAGGUAUUUGGGGUUAUACAUCCUUAAUUCCUGUACAGAGAUGAUUGUCAGAUGAUCAUUCAACAUUGAGACUAUACUUGAGAAACUAAACAUAGACAUAUGAUUCAGUUUUCUCACAAGGCUUACAUUUGAAAUAAGAUUUUGCAAUCCCUUAGCAAAGCAACUAUUAUCCUAAAGAUCCUACUACCAAGUUCCAACUAACUAGAUCUUAAUAGUUAAUACUUAACAGAUAACAGAAUUGUUGGUGCAAGUGCCGCUACUCUGAUCAGUCCCUUCCCUUUAGUUCUAUUGAUUAGACUUCCUAUAUACAAAGGGCAAUAAGAUUAUGCUAACAACAAAUGAAAAAAAAAAUAACAAACUGUCCCACUACUGAUGCUAGUGUAGCUUCCAGGUUCAGGGUUAUAGCUAUGGACAAAUUAUAUAGUGAAUGUCAUUGCAAUUCUCAAAACAAAAUAGGACUUGGGAAUGAUGAAAGCAAUUAGUUACUUCUCUGACAAUCUUAUAAUUGUUCACAGGGUCAUCAUCAGCAGCAUCAACGACGUGGACGAUUACCCUCGUUCUCCUCAAAUGUCUCAAGAAAUUGCGACCAAGACCCUGCGGUGCAAUUAAAGCACAUGAUAAAUCCACAGAGGCUAACCACGGGAAGCAACAAGACGACACCUUCAAACAAACAUUGUGCAAAUAACACAAAGGUAAACGGCACCUUGCCCAGAUGAGCGCCCUCAAUAAGACCCGGCAAAUCUGCCAAUGUUGCUCCAGAGGAAAACUGCAACGCCCCUAAAGUGGGAUCUCCACCAAGCCGGCCAAGAUUUGGCAUUAAUGUAGUGAAUGGAUAAUCAGCAAUGUCUGGUCGUGCAAGCGUUAUAGCUGAUAGAAGUGUUGAUUUUCCAGCAUUUGGAAGUCCCUGAAAAUGCAAAUGAAGACGAUUAGGCCAACAUUGCGAUAUGCCAAAGAAAUAGAUCUGAAGCAAGCCUUGAAGACCUGAUAAUCCAACACUGAACCCUAAAAGUGAAACAGAAGGGACUCUUAGCAACUGCAACCCUUCUAACCCAGAGUCAUCUCUUGACUCUUGUAUAUAGAAAAUGAUCUGAACACCUUUUUCCUAAUAAAAAAGAGAGAAAAUCCAUUAUGUAGCAGUGCAACACUCUUACCACAAGGCCAACAUCUGCAACCACCCUUAAGAUUAACUCCAAGCUUAUUUCCUCACCAGGCUGGCCAUGCGUUAAUACCUACAGAAAAAGGAGAUGAGACAAAAUCACACCCAAAAAAAGUAGAGGUGAAAAUGGAGAAAACUAGUCAGCAAAUAAAGAUGUUGUUAUUUGAAAUAUUUGGAUAAUCCUAAACUAUACUGAUAGGAUCAGAUAACACCGAAUACCACGCAUUUGGUGUACAGUACUGUUAAAGAAUUCUUAUGUACUCAUUGGCAUUAGCGGCGGAGCAUCUGUUUGUUUAUCACUCAUUACCAAUUUGCGAUGGGCAUCGCAUCAGUUGGAGACAUGUAAACAGUAUUGCUAGACGUGCGAGAACUUCGAGUGGAGGCAGAGAACUAGAUUGUACUAUGCUCUCUGAUGGACCAGUGGUAUUAUUAUCUAUGUAGAACUAGAGUAACCAUAAACACUAAACAAUGCAGCACCAUGAACCUCUCUGCAGGACCGCUCAGCGCCUCGCUCACCAGAACAUGCCGCACAGCCCAUCAUGCAUGUUCUGCGGCCAAACUCUGGAGACAAUGCACCACCUCCUUGUGGACUGACUGUUCUACAGGAUCGUCUGGCACAAAGACCUCUCCUGGAUCCAUGCCCCCUCCUGUGGCCCGAAGCCCUCAUCGACUGGUGGGACGUUGCAAAGCAGAGGACUCUGAAGGAACGGCGCAAAGCCCUUGCAACUUGCAAGCACCAUACUCCCCACGUCCUGGAUGCUCUGGAAGCACAGGAACAAGUGCACCUUUGACAACAUGCGCCUGGACUCCAACGUCCUUCUUAGGGACAUCGCUGAUGAGGGUUGCGCGUGGGAGCAGCUGGGUUGGCAGCCUGUCAACCUGAAGGCUGGGAUGUCCACUGAUUCAUCCUGGCAGCGCCUUUGCCUUUGUUGUGUUUAAUGUUUCCUACCUGCCCUGCUUGGGCAUGUAAUUAACUUUGUUCCUGCCUUUUCAAUAUAAUGAGAUGCAGAGCUUUUGCGUUUUCUUCAAAAAUAAAAAUAAAUACUCCCUCCGUAAACUAAUGUAAGAGCGUUUAGAUUACUAAAGUAGUGAUCUAAAUGCUCUUAUAUUAGUUUACGGAGGGAGUACUAAACAAGCAGUGCAUUAUAAGAAACACAGAGCAUUUUGUUCUGAUCAAUCCUUCCCUGAUUUAAUGACCCUAAUAAGACAACCUAUUGGUAAAAAUGGCAUCGAAUAUAUACCAUCAAAUCCAGGAUUAUUUCAUAGGUAACAACUUACCUUAUCAGUAACAUCACGCAUGACAUUAGGAGAUAAAGCCAUGGCUUUCCCUCUUUUGUAAUCGGGCGCAUCGAUCAAGCUGAUCUGCAAAAGUGAAGUAAAUAUGUAAAACCAUAAUAAUGAUAGCAAGCAUAUGUAUCAUACAUGAAAAAGAAUAUCAGAAAACAAUGAAAAGUGUCCACUACACUGUUUUACAUGAGGUACUCACAUACUCAGCUACACUGGAAUCUGUAUUCAGAGGAAUAGGCAUGGUUAUCGCCAUCUCAACUAGUCACAGUGAGAUUUGCAAUUGUCUCCAUACCCACCUGGUUAUAGACAAACUCAGAUUUUCUCCCGGAGCAGCAGCCCUUUAGGACAACUGGGCCAGGAAUUUUAACGUGCAGUGGAGGUCGUAAGAAACAGCAGAUCCGACGGUCAGAAACGCCUCAGUCACUAAAACGGAUGGCCAAAAAUGAAGGAGGCGUGCGAGGGCUGGGAUUAGGCUCAAUUUUACUGUUCUAAAUGCCAUCCGUUGGUAACGCAAUCGUACCCGGUAACAAUCUAGUUAUAGACACUGAUACAGCCCUCAGAAUGCACUUUGGGUAUAUUAUCAGAUACAGGUUUUCAGGGGUAGAACGAUUCAACUUAAGUGUGUUGAAAGUACACAAAUGCGUCUUGACAUGUUAAAAUUGGUUAACUCCGAUACUUCGCAAGCAGUUUACACAGUUUUCCUGCAAGUGCCAUAAACCAGAGCAUCAUCGUGAAAUGGUUACUAAGCUCUAUAGAAUUUGUGCUGUCCAUAAGGAAUAACUUGGGUCUGCUAUUGCUGAAGCAAAACCCAUGGCUCCUAGCAUAGUUGUGGAAAUGUUUGCCAAGUGUCGUACGCAUUUGCAGACAGAAAUUCAGUCACUCUGUUUUAACAUUCUAACACGACGAUACAGAUUAACAUCUACCAACUCACCCCGCCCUGUCCACCCCUAGCGACGAGCACCUCAUCACCAGGAUGAGCCAAAUCGGCAAGAACAGACCCUUUCUUGCGCCUCACAACGGUACCUGCAAUUCAGUGAGCAGGCGAGGCAUCAUCAGAGUCAGACGCCUAACCUCACAGAGCCACAGAGCAAAAAUUGCUCCGCGUUCACAGCAGCAGGCCUACAAACCUACAGGCACGGGUAUCCUGAGCGUCUCCCCGGCGGAGCCGUUGUGCAUCCGGGAGCUGAGGGUGCCGGUGGCCCCGACGUUGCCGCCCCUCUUGGCGCAGUGCCGGGCCUUGGCGUGGAACCCCAGCAGCGACUCCUCCGCCUCGUCGGCGUACAGCACCACGUCGCCGCCGUGCCCGCCCACGGGCAGCGACACGGACCCGUCGUAGUUCCGCUUGAACGACACCUUCUUCCCGCUGCCCUUCUUGGCCUUUCCCUUGUCCGCGGCCCUGCCGCCGCCGCGGGGCUUCGAGGUGGCCGCGUCCGCGGAGGAGCCCGGCGGCAUGUUGAGAACGGCGCCGUGGCCGCCGUCCCCCGCGCGCACGCUGACGACCGCGUGGUCGAAGUACUUGUGCGCCUCCUUGGCUAGCGCCUGCGGCGGCGGGGAUGCGCUCGGGGGAGCCUUGGCCCUGGCCGCCGCUGACGCCGCCCGGCACGCGACCGCGAUCGGCCUGCGCCUCGGCGCGAGCAGGGCGUCCCUGAGAAGUUCCCGCUGGAGAAGCAGGUGGUGGUGCGCGCCCCCGGAGAAGACGGCGCGGUGGUGGCUGGCCGUGUGGGAGGGGAGGAGGAGCGUCGCCAUUGGGGUGCUGCCACUGGUGGUGGUGUCAGUCAGUGCAGCGCCGGGGUUGGGGAUAAGCCGCCGCGGGGUUUAGUUAUGGGCCGUUGAUGAGGCGCGGCCCGUGGGCUCGGACCAUAAUGGUGCGCUCGUACUGGGCCAAUUUGCCACGCCUCAAGCUCGACGUCCGGGGCUUUAGUUUGUGCCUUUUCCUCACUCAAGCGAGAGAUAGUUUGAACUUUUUUUGUCUACAAAACAUAGUUUGAGCUUUUUGUUCCCUCAAAAAAGUAAAAACUUUUUCCUACCCGCAGCGUCGUUGAUAUACCUGUUUUCGCCCCUCAAAUCAAAAAAGAAGAAGAAAAAAAGUUGAAAUCCUCUUUUCUAGUCAAUGAAGAAAGGACGUUCAAGCACACCAUUGUCCAUGUCAACACAAGGGGGAUGGAAAAAAGAAGAGAGAAAAAUGACUCCAUCUAACAGGUAGGUCCACAUGGAUAUGCAAAGUUGCAAACUGGCCGAUUGCCAGACUCUAGAAGAGACUCUCAAUACAGGUUCGUUCUACAUCAAACUGGAAACAGCAAUGUACAUCCACCGCAUCACAUGCGUGAAGAGAUGGAGGACUCCCGUCCAGAUCGCCUUCGCCUUCAC
rnacentral:lncRNA from 1 species